rnacentral:lncRNA from 1 species
AAAAAAAUAGUAUUGGUACAUACUUUUACAAAUGAAAAAAUACAAUAAAAAUAAACUUUUAAUUUCUGAAACUUACACUUAAACUUUAAUCUAUUAGCAAACAUUUUAUUUAUUUAAGCUUUAAAACUAAUUAAGAUAUUUCCCGUGUACUCCAAGUAAGGCCGCCGUGAUAUGUUAUAGUAAAAUUAAAAAAGAAAGAAAAACACUCUAGACUACUUUUAGCACCGAUGGAAAACCAAAAUUAUUUAUAUGUAUAAAUAAAGAGAUUGCAUAUUUUUGUGUUUUCACCUUCGUUAUACUGUUUUAUCCUUUAAUUAGAACUAGUCAUUAGUAUCCUUUAAUUAUUCUCUAAAUUACCAAAACUUUAUUUUUUUAAUAACUCUAUAAAUCGCUUAAUAUGUAUAUUUUUUCAUAUCAUCAUAUCAAAUUAGUUGUAUUAAACUUUUGAAAGAUAAUAAUCAUAAUUACUUUCACCAUCAACCACGCCACUAUGUUAGGAGCAACCUUAUAUUAUCUUCUAUGUCUGCAUUCGUCUUCAUUUGACGGCACCCCUUCCUCUUCAUAUUAUUAAUUAUGCCUUCGGUAAAUUUUUAUAAUAAUUAUUGUUCAUCAUGUUAAAAAUAACUUUUAUGGUUUGCGAAUACAAAAAGUUAUUUAUCGACAUUUAUCAAAUAUCAAUUAAACUUCAAAAACACGAAUUUAAUUUAAACAAAUUGGUGUUUAGGACAGAAUUAUGAUUAUGGAUACAUUAAAUGAUCAAUUACACUUAUCCAACACAAAAACACAUUACGUGAUAAAUAAAAAUAGGUGGAGCAGGUUGCAUGGAAGGAAUGCAUGCACGAUGUAGCUUACAACCAAAAUAAGGAAUAGAUUGUUUGCAUGGUGAAAGAAAGAAGUCGAUGCCAAUAUCUCUAUUAAUUCCAUUCCAUGCAUCGUAAAACAAAACCAAAUAGAUACAACAUCAAAGAACCUUGUACCUGUCCAAUUCCAGCCACAAUAACCUGCGUGUUCCACCGGAAGAAGGGAGGAGAACGAGGAAAACACCACCACCAGGUUUCCUCCUCUCUCUUCCAAUAUCAUACAUACGUAAACUUACCCUAAGCUAAAACCUUCAACAAUGAAGAUCCUCCAGAAAGAUUUCGCCAUCAAUCAAACCGGAACUGCGAAGCUCAUGGCUGAAGAACCCGACGACGUGUGGGUCCUCUACAACCUCAUCCUCCCCGGUGACGUCGUUUCAGCCGACACCACGCGCAAGGUUCACCACGAUUCCUCCACCAAGAAAAACACAGCAUCACGUGUCAAGCUCACCCUCCACCUCAAAGUCACGUGCCGAGACUUCCACAAAGACUCCUCCACCCUCCGCCUCCAAGGCCGCAACCUCCACCACAACCAACACGUCGCCGCAGGCUCCUUCCACACCCUCUCCCUCGAACCCAACAAACCCUUCCUCCUCCGGAAAAAUCUCUGGCAAAACGACGCCGUCCAAACCCUCAACGACACCACCCGAAAAGAACGUACCAAAUCAAAUUCCACUUCCAUUCCCGACCUUGCUGUCGUUCUUUUCCACCCGCACCGCGCCGAGAUCCACCUCGUCGCAGAAGGAGACAAUACGCACUGCACCAAGGUCGAAGCCUGUCCCAACUCCAGGAAAAACGGAAAAGUUUCUUCGUCCGUGUUUUUCCGCCGAGUGUUGGCGGCUUUGGUGAAGCGCGUGGAUUUCAAGGUUUUGAGGGGCGUUGUGGUGACGAGCGAGGAGUUUCGUGCGUUUGUGGUGUCGGAAGCGAGGAAGAUGGGGAUACGGUGGAUCGAGGAUAACAAGACGAGCGUGGCGGUCGUGGAGGAUGGUGAUAGUUUGGAGAAAGUUUUGAGUGAUCCGGCGGUGACGGGGUUGGUGAAGGACAGCAGGGUUAUGGCGUUUAGGGAGUUGUGGGAGAUGGUGUGCAACGAUUCGGGCCGCGCGUGUUAUGGAGCCGAGGAGGUGGAGCGUGCGAAAGAAAUGAAAGCGAUUGAGACACUUUUGAUUACUGAUGAUCUUUACAGGAACGAGGAAGUUGGUACGAGGCAGAGGUACGAUGGUCUGGUGAAAUCGGUGAAAGACGGUGGAGGAAAGGCUUUGGUGUAUUCGCCGAUGCAUGUUUCGGCGUCGCAACUCUCGCAGCUCACCGGCGUUGCCGCCAUUCUCCGGUUUCCUUUGCCUGAUCUCGAAGUCCAAGAUUGAAAUGGUGCUAAAUAAUUUACUGUUUUAAGAAACAGGGUUGUGUUGUACAGAUUAACUAGUUAUAAUUAAUUUGUUGGUUUAAUUUGGUUAGUUGUCGAUUAACUAGUUAAUUAAUCUGGUGCUGAAGUCAGGGGAAAGUGGAUUGUCCAAGUUACGUGUAAUGAUUUGGGUUUGUGUGGUGUGUAUGUAAUCACGUGUUGUAUUUGUUGUUUACUUUGUGAUCAGAAACUAGGAAUGCAUGUCAGUUCAAAAAUAAUUUUAUUUUAGUAUGAAUAAAUGACCAAGUCUUUUAUUUUACCAUUUAAAUUAAAAAAAGAAAAGCAAUCAAAUAUCACCACAUUCUUGGUUGGAUUAGAUCCGACCUACAUGCAAACAGAUGUCAAAUUUAAACCUAAUUGAAGCACGCAAGCUGAUCCUGAAACAAAGAAUAAUUUGUGAGGUUGUAUGUGUAUUAUCCUGUUCCUUCUAAUUAAUGAUAUAUUGCGUGAAAUAUGUUUUUAACGUGAAAUUUUAAUUUCUUGAUAUUUGAAAUUUUGAUAUAUUUUAUUUUUCAAAUUUUAAAAAUAAUAAAUAUAGUUUUUUUUUUAAAUUAAUAAUAUCUUAGACUGACGUUUAAACUAAAGUUUGUUUUGUUAAAUUGAUAUAAACAAUUUAAAAGCUAUUUUGAAAAGUAUUGAAUAUGUCAAAAAAAAUUUCAUGUAAUUGAAUUGGAAAUAUUAUAUUUUUUAUUGUUAAAGUUUAGAACCAAAUUAUGUCAAAUUAAAAAUAUAUUUAAUCUGAUAUAUUUUGAGAUUCUUGGUAAGAUAAACUCAAAGCUAUCAUAAUAAAGAAAAAUGAUAUUUUAAUACCAAUUUUUGACACCAUUUUGAUACUGUACACAUGUCAAAAUGUGGUUGGACGAUUUAAAAUUUAAAAAAACUGACAUAAGGACAUAUUUGAAAGAGAAAAACCAAAAUUUCUUUUUUAAUUUGAAAUCAUUCAACCACAUUUUAACACGUAUGUAGUAUCAAAAUAGUGUUAAAAAAUUAGUGUUAAAAUAUCAUUUUUCUUCUUUACCAAAAAACUUAAGAAUCGCAUAUUCAAAUUAUGAAGAAGAAUUAGUAAAAAGAAAAUGCUUCAUUUACCUUUUUUAUGGUGUAAUUUGAUAUCUUGAAUGAUGAGAAAGUUAGAUAGAAACAAAAAAAAUUGAACAACUUAUAUGGUAGAAGAAGAUCCGUAAACUUUCUCAUCAUUCAAUAUUUAUUAAUAAAGGAAAAAUAUUUUUAAUAAUUUUUUUUAACAAUUAUCUCACGAUGUAUAUGUUAUAAUUUAUGAUUAAUUUGUUUUAAAUAUUUUUUUAAAAUAAAUUUAAAUAAAUAAAUAAAAUAAUGAUACGUGUCCUAUCUAAUGUCAACAAGUUGUUAAAAAAUAUUAUUAAAAUAUCAUCACUCAUUAAUUAAUAUGAAAGUGAAAAGUGUUUGAUAUAAGUCACAAGCAACGUAACAUUAUAGUCAAUAUAGUAUUCUUAACGCGGACAAAAGUAUAUCAGCAAAAGAAAUAAUGCUUUUCAAAGCAACUAGUAGUGAAAAUAGGAAAAACUAUUUUUAUUAGUGACUAUGAUUAGUUUGUUUUAAAUAUUUUUUUAAAUAUAAAUUUAAAUAAAUUAAGUAUUAAAUAAGUUGUCAUAAAAGUAUUAUCAAAAUAUUAUUAUCCGUGAAAAUAUGCAUUGAGUCACAUGAUUUGAAGAAGAAAAUUUUUGGUUUCCAAAAAUAUUACCAGUAUUUGGAAGUUGAGGGAUUAACAUGGCCACAUGAGUUGUUGCAUAAUUAUGAAUAAUCAGAAAAGUAAUAGAAAAAGGGAAAAUAAAGAAGAAAGGAAAAACAGAAGAUAGUCCAAGAGUUCAGAGCAGGAGGCAGUGGCAGUGCCACAGUUUUGCCGUGACAGUGCGUUACAACGGAUAUCCUUUCUUUCUUGGGUUCUGUUCCCUUCAAUUUUCACCACAUACAAUAACCUAUAACUAAACAAACAUGCUUUUUUACAAAAAUCUCACAUCACCAACUUCGGUAAUACAAUAACAACUUACUCAUUCUGUAACCAGGCUCAUCAAUAUUUCACUAUACUGUUAUUUCAUAUAUUUUAGAGAUAAAAUUAUUUUAACAAAAGUUAACUUUUAUGUUUAAAAAAAAAGAAAAUAAUAAUAAAAAAUAAUGUCAAAUGAUAAUAUAAAAAACUGUUCCAUAUUAAAUUUAUAUCUAACGUCACUUUCGAUCUUUUUCCAAUCUUGGUAAUUGCCAUGCUCUAUAAAUAACGUUUAUUUUAAUUUUAUUUUAAAAUAAAUAACGUUUAUUUGAAGAUAUAAAAGAAAUAGAAAUCAUAUGUUAACAUAAUAUUAUAUGCAUGAAUAGGUAUCAUAUACGAACAUGCUUAUUAGUAAAUUAUUGUAAUUGAGAUGACGAUAAUUAUAUUAGAAAAUACAAUUUAAAAAGUACACUGAUAAUAAAUUCUAUUAAUUUUGGUUAAUUUGCACUCUUAUUAUGAAUAAUGUAUAAUAUAAUAUUAUAUUCGAGUUAAGACUUAACAAGUGAGAGAAAAGAGACCGGGUCUUUUACUCUCUCUCUUUAUUGUUCGUCUCUGUAGAAGACUCAAUGCACCAACUCCGUCGUGGUGGUCGCGAUUGAAAGGAAGAAGAAAAAGAAGGCAGACAAAAAAUGCGGGCCUCCGUUUGCCUGUGGCUCGCGUUAGCUACCGUCGCGUUGUCUGCGGCGCUGGUGCACGGCGGUUUGACGGGGACAUUUCUUCCUCUGGAACGGGCCAUUCCUCUGAACCAACGAGUGGAGUUAGAGUCGCUGAGAGCUCGAGACAGAGCACGCCACAGUCGAAUCUUGCAAGGUGUCUUUGGUGGCGUUGUCGACUUCGCCGUCCAGGGAACCUCCGAUCCUUACUUCGUUGGGUACGGGUAAUUCUUUUUUUUCGCCUCCUUUCAAAUUUCCCCGUGUAUUUUUUCUUCUUCUUAAUAUUCCAUUUUUUGUUAUGCAUUUUCUGUUUACCGUAUUUGCAAGAAGAAGAAAGAAAGAGGAAUAGCCGUAACGGAUAGAGUAUUUAUUUGAGAUCAUUGUUUUAUAUUAUGAUAAUGAUAUUAACGGCUAAGAAGUUUGAAACAGCAUAUCGCAUGUACUUUUGAAGCUUGGGGCUAAUCUUGGUUUCCUUGCUCAGGCUCUAUUUCACGAAAGUGAAGUUGGGAUCGCCUGCGAAAGAGUUUUACGUUCAGAUUGAUACUGGAAGUGACAUAUUGUGGCUGAAUUGCAUGACUUGCAGUAAUUGUCCUCAAUCUAGUGGGUUAGGGGUGAGAAUUUAUGCUUUUAGCUGUUGUCAUUUAAUUUGACAUUUAUUUUUGUGGAUGAGAGUGUAAUCAUUUGACCUCUUCUUGGUGUUUUUGUAUGCACACUACAGAUUCAGCUGGAUUUCUUUGACACGGCCGGCUCAUCCACUGCUGCGUUUGUUUCCUGCGCUGAUCCAAUAUGUUCUUAUGCGGUUCGAACUGCGACAAGUGAAUGCUCUUCUCAGGCUGAUCAUUGCAGCUACACUUUUCAGUAUGGGGAUGGAAGUGGGACAACUGGUUAUUAUGUUUCUGAUACGAUGUAUUUUGACACAGUCGUGGGACAGGAAUUGGUUUCUAACUCUUCAUCUACCAUCGUUUUUGGGUGAGUCCUUAUGUUUUUGUGGAUAGUCAUGUCAUGAGUGAGUUUGGGAACGUAUAAAGAUCAGAGCUUGAUCGUAGGGGUCAGAGGAGCGUAGUUUUUGUGUGUGAAGAUUAUGUUCUGAGCUUAGUAGCAAACAUUGUAAUUAAAUUAUUAUUACUGAUAAUAUAAUACUGUGGAUCAGGGCAACACUAACUGCAUAAAAAUAUUGCCAGAAGGUAAUUUUUUUUAAAGGGAGAGAAAAGGUAACACAAUAUGGGCUGUUUAUUUUGAGGUUGUUCACUGUUUUACGUCCUCUUUCUGCUGUGAUAGUUUGCACACUUACUCCCUUGUUUAUGCUAAGAUGGAUAUUGAGUUUAAAUGAACCUUUUGGGAUUAUUGUUUGGAAACAGGUGUAGCACCUACCAGUCUGGGGAUUUGACCAAAACAGAUAAAGCAGUUGAUGGAAUUUUUGGGUUUGGUCCUGGUGCUCUAUCUGUUAUAUCACAAUUGUCAUCACAGGGUCUGACACCCAAAGCGUUCUCUCAUUGCCUAAAAGGACAAGACAAUGGAGGAGGUGUGUUAGUUCUCGGUGAAAUUUUGGAGCCAAGUAUGGUUUAUAGCCCACUUGUCCCAUCACAGUAUGUUCUCUCUUCUGCAUUCUUUUUCCAAGUUUACUUUAUUCUGUUGGUGGACAUGUUUUUUUUUUCUUAAUACGAAAGUACAAGUACUAUUCAUUUCCUAGAAAAUUAUGAAACUAGGUAUUUGCAUUAUUGUUAAAGAUUAAUUAGUUUGGUUUGGAUGGUAGGUAGGAAGUUGAGUUGAGUUGAACUCAACUGGAGUUAAGAAAAAGCAACCAUUGUGGGUGUGUUUGUAUUUUAGUUCGAACACCUGAAUCAACUUUCGAUUUCCAUCGAAUACCGUUCCUGCAAGUUUGACAUGUUUUUAGAUCCAGUUAGAAAUAAAAUUCACCUCUAACUCUAGUCGACUUAAAAACUAUGAUGAGUUGCUUUUGUAUCAACUCCAAUUGAGUUCAACUCAAUAAAAUUUUCUAACGAAAAUCUAAACACGUACUAGCUUUUAAUUCAACUGCAGUUUGAGGUGAAUUUUGUUUCUAUCUAGAGGUGAAAAAAAGUGCCAAACAUGUUUACACAACAUUCAGUGGAAGAUGAAAGUUGGUUUGGGUCUCCCAACUGGUAUCCAAACACACCCUUAAUGGUAGACAGUUAUGAGCUAAUUAUUCUUGAAUUUACCAUACCAGUUUGCUAGUUACAUUACAAUUUGUGUACAACAAAACAUAAAAUUAGCACUGCUAGUUGACAUCUUGAAAAAGUUAGCCAAAUAAUGGUUGUUUUGUACCCCUAGCUAACACGAAGUUUCUGAUUUUUGUUGUUGUGAGGACUGCUCAUAAAAUUGUCAUCUUUUAUCCUUGAUUGUAAUUUUCUGAAGGGUAAUGUACUUCUUUUUCGUUGCUUUUAGCCAAAUAUGUUAAUUUUGGCCAGUAUUCUAGUUAUAAAAACAUUGGGUUUUAAGUUUUUAUAUUUAAGUUCAUGCCUUUAGCGGAGAAGGUGAAAACUUUGUUGGUUUCCCUAUGUGAUAUUAUUGUGUAGGGCUCAGCCCUCUCCUUUCCAAGACAGUUUAUUUUCAUGGAGCUCACAGUUAGGUGCCAUACCCUUGUUUAAUGAGCAUGACUCAACGUGAAAGUGGAAACCUGUUUUCAGUUUUUGGGGGUUUUAAACCUCACAUUAUGAACUGUUUAUUCAGCAAAAAUUGUAAUAAAAACGACUAUAAAUGAUAGUACACAACAAUAUUUUUUAAUUUAAUGAAAUAAGCUUUUGAAUUGAACAUAAUAUGCGAUAUUGCUUACUCAGUUACCAAAUUAGCAGCAGUUCUGUGUGGUAGUCUCAAGAUCAGUCCCUGCAACGUUGAAAUAAUUCUUGGCCUGUGGAAGCUUUGUCCUGCGAGAGUACUUGGUUGUUAGAUUUGGGAUGUCCAUGGACAAAAAUGAAUUCUAUAUCUAUCAGUAUAUUGCUGUGUUCUAUGUCUUACUUUUUAUUUGGCUAAUUCGUUGGUGAAAUUUCAGGCCUCAUUACAACUUAAAUCUUCAGAGCAUUGCUGUUAAUGGUCAAAUUCUCCCAAUUGAUUCAGAUGUAUUUGCGACAGCUAAUAAUCGAGGAACUAUAGUUGACACUGGAACGACAUUGACAUACCUUGUUCAAGAAGCAUACAAUCCUUUUGUCGAUGCUGUGAGUUUACUUUUACUUUAAAUUUGUGGCACUACAGUGUGCUGUAGACAAUUUCUGUUGUUUUAUUCUCCAGAUAUACUUCUGAGUACAUAAAAUCUGACAUUGCCCGCUACCCUAACAGGAAGUUCCUUCUGUCUAAACCAGAAGAUUAGGCUGUUCGUUUGAGGUUGUCCUCCGUUUUCAGUAGGUCCCUAGUUAACUGAAUGAUCAAUCUCCAAGGAUGGUUUUAGGAUCUAUAUGAUAAGUCUAUGAGAGGCUAUUUACAUGACCAGUUACCAAUUUCAUAACACGAGAGAUGUUUAAAUAUCUGCAAAACCCUGUCUUUUAUGCGAAAACAGGGGAGUUGCUGCAACUUCUCCCUCAAACUUUAUUAUUAGAGUGAGUAUGAAGAUGAUAAUUUCAUAGGAAACUUUUCAACUUUUGUUACUAUCAUAUAUUAGUGUAGACCCUUGCCACAGAUGAAGUUAUAAAGAGGCUUAUAAAGUUACGCCGUUGUGGUAAGAGAGGUUGAGUCACGAGUGUCCGUAAAGUGAACUUUGUUAUGGAAUUUGAUCCUCAGAAAUGCUUUCUAGACAAAUUGUUUAUGUAGAUUGGAUUAUGUAGUUUUAUUACUUUAUUACCUACUAAGUCCCAAACACAAUACUUUAUUACCUACUAAGUCCCUACUAGUCUACCUUAUGAACCUUAUCCACACAGUUGCCUUGUAUCAUUAACAGUCAUGUCAUUUCUGACUGCCGUAUACAGCUGGCAAGUCCACAUUAACUGAUGGCUAUCAGCAUCAUGUGUUGACUAUGCCACAUCAGCAUACAGCCAACCCACUUAUGUGAUUGCCAUGUCACUUAUUGGUGGCCACCUCACUUAUUUCUGUGUCAUCUGUUGACCCGUCACAUUUCCAUUUGUUGUAGAUUAUUGGCUUUGACAAAGUUGACUAUAACCUUGGUCCCACAUCGACUAGAGAUAGGGUCAAUUUAGAGUAUAUAAGUAGACGUAAAUCUUACCUUACAAGUCGGUUUUGUAAGGUUGAGUUAGACUUAAAAUCCAUUUCUUAACCGCUUCCGAUCACCUUUUGGUUUUAAUUCCCUUCAAAAUGCAUUUUUUCAAACUUCAAAACUUGCCUGAGAUUUUUAUUAAUUGUGGUUUUUGUGUUAGGGCUUUUGUUAACAAAAUCUAGUAUCCACCUAACAAGUUCGAACGAUUACACCAAAUCUUGAUUCCAUGAUACAUGCGCAUGUUAUUAAAUGAAAAGACUACUGUUACUGUAGUUGUGUUAUCAGAUGUAAUAUGAUCUGUAAAUAUAAUACUCUCCUAUAGGGAGAUGUUUCAAUAUGCAUUCUAUGCUGAAAAAUGUAAAUUUCUUGUUACAAUUUUUUGCCUCAAAAACGUGUUGAAGAGAGGCAAACGAAUUCUUGAGCAUAUUUAUCAUGCAUUUAAUUUUUUUAAGAAAUCGUAUAUCAUGUGCUGAUGUUGAGUAUCCAAACGAAUGUGUAGAUAACUGCUGCUGUGUCACAGUUCUACAAACCUAUUAUUUCAAAAGGAAACCAGUGUUAUCUGGUAUCAAACAGGUUACUUCAAUUUAAAGUCAACUUUUUAACAAAGAUCUUUCAAUUCUUUCGUCGUAAUAAUUUUUUGUCCUAUUAUAGUUUGAGGAUCUGAUUUGAAUUUGUGCUUAUUCAGCGUAGGUGAUAUAUUUCCUCAAGUCAGUUUAAACUUCAUGGGUGGGGCAUCUAUGAUUUUAGAUCCAGAACAUUACCUUAUGCAUUAUGGUUUCCUUGUAAGUAUGUCUAUUUUUAGUUUGGUCACGUUAUUGCCUCUUCUAUCUUUUAGUAAUUGUAUUGAAAUGCGUGUCACUAAUAACAGGCUGAUGUACGCUACCUUGAUUUCACAGGAUGGUGCUGCAAUGUGGUGCAUUGGCUUCCAAAGAACGGACCAGAGAUUCACCAUUUUAGGAGGUUAGAAGCUAGAAAAGUUAUCUAAACAGAGUCAAAUCUGCAUGGAAUUUGAAGAAAAACUCAAUUUUCAAAAUUGAUUAUAAAAUGGGCUCUUUAGUUAGCAGCAUAGAAAAUCUUUAUUGAUAAAUGUCUUGUAUUCGAUGCUAGUAAACUCUAUUACGUAAUUUGAGAAUUGUUUUGGUAGGCUGAAUAUGAGAUUAGAAAAACUGAAAACACAUGGUAAGGUGUUUCACAAAGAACCUUAAUCGGUUAUUUUCAGUAAACAUUCAAAUGGAAUUUUAGAAUACGAUAAAAAUGGGUAGAUUCUGUCUUGUCAUUAAAAGUUUUAUCGUACUUAUUGUGUCAAUUAUACAUGAAAUUAUUUGGCUAGCAAGUGGAUCAACCAAGUCUUUUGGGUUCUUUUGCAGAUCUUGUCCUAAAAGAUAAGAUAUUUGUAUACGACUUAGCUAAUCAACGAAUUGGAUGGGCCAACUAUGACUGUAAGCUCGCUAAAGUAACUGAAUCUUUCUGCAUGUAUGGUAUUUUUACUUUGUCAUAAUCUUGAGUUGGUGGUCAGGUUCCUUGGCGGUAAACGUCUCUAUGGCUACGAGCAAGAGCAAAGAUGCAUACAUCAACAAUUCAGGACCCAUGAGUGUGAGCUGCCCCCACAUAGGCACUUUCUCCAAGUUGCUAGCAUCAGGCAUUGCUGCUUUCCUUGUGCACAUAGUUUUCAUGGAUUUCCCAGUUUUGUAAAGCGCUACCACGAGUCAAAGAUAAUUUUUUGAAGCUUACAUGGGUUGGCUGAUGUUUUAUUUAUUGUCAGCAUGCCCUUACGUCGAAACGGGAGGUGGUUGCUGUUUUCUGCGCGGUAUUUAAUUUUGUUGGCAUCUUUGUAAAUUGGUUUACCACUUGAGUACAUGGGAAUAUUUAUAAACUACUCUGACUGCAUAAAACAGUUUACUUGUGAGAUUUUCCGGUAAGGAUAUGGGAAUAUCAUAUUCUUGGAAUUGUGCUCUUAUUGUCAUCAAUGGAUUAAUGUGUGCACCGUGCAGCAACAAGUUGUCAAACCAAUGUAAAGAAAGACGAACAGUAUUUCUUCUAAUAGGUUGUUGGUUAUCUGAUAUUCUAUUCCUAAAUAACAGUUGAUUGUAGAUAUAUAAUGUGUCUAUAAUAAUUUAUUUAUCGUUGCUGUCAGAGAGAGAUUGAGAGAAAAUGACGGACAACUAAGACUUUAUACGUGUUAUGUAUCCUCUUAAUAUGUUUAUUAUUUGACAUGCAUAUUAGAUUGGAUUAGGUUAUUCUUUCAAACAACUACAAACAUUCGAUUUGAGUAACUUUUUCUUACAUUAAUGGAUGAUGAAAAGAGACUACAAAACGACUAAAACAGAAGGUAUUUGGUAGUAACUGUGUAAUUUAAUACAGGAGAGGGAAAUAAAAUAAAGGAAAAUGAUAUUUUAUCACGAUUUUUUGACACCAUUUUGACACUGUACACGUGUCAAAAUGUGGUUGGACGAUUUCAAAUUAAAAAAACAAACUUUGGUUUUUCUUUUCCAAAUAUACCCCUGUCUCAACUUUUUUAAUUUGAAAUUGUCCAAUCACAUUUUGACACAUAUACAGUGUCAAAAUGGUGUCAAAAAAUGAUGUUAAAAUAUCAUUUUCCUAAAAUAAAAUCGUUUGGCAUGGAGGUUAUUUCUGUUUCCUUUGUUGCGAUCCGUGCAUAUUUGAAACAGUCUCCUCAUUUUCCUCAUUCCUCAACGCUCGUACGUCCGUCUCUUUCUUUCCUUUUUUCUUCUACACGCGCCCAUCGCCUCUCUUCCAACACAAUUCCACCAAUUUUCUUUCAUAUCACAUUCUAACGUCCCCAACUCUUUCCUCCUAAACCUAAAAAUAUACCAUAUUUCUAAACUACACACAUAACUAUAUAUCUACUAUUACCAUUAUUAAUAACCACACUUUCCUAAAUGCACACCAUUAAUCAUCAUUGCCAAAAUGUUAUGUUCUUUUCUUUUUCCACUAAAUGGACUAUGAAACACACUGAUUAAAUAUGUUUUGUAAAAUAAUAUAACAGGAAAACUAUACCUAUCUAUUACACACAGAAUAAUGGAAACCAGAGGUAAUAAUUCCAAUCAUAUCACCCAACAGACACAUUUUCUACAAACAAUAAAAUAGUAUACCAGUAAAUAGAUUUAUGUAUAGUUUGAAUACUUUAUUUAAAACAGAUAAUAGAGCAAACUUAUCCAAAGACAUUGACUAUUUGUUGAUGAGGCGCGAAUUUCCUUAAAUAAUAAAUAUGAAAAAUUGCAAAGUGAAGAGGAGUGUGAGCUACACUCGAGCAAGGCGCGUGGAGGUGGAGAGGAUGGUUUAUAGCACCCAACGGCCAUGCAUGCGGAAUCUUCCUACACUCACUCACUCUCACACGAACACACAAACCAACCUCUCUCUCUCUCUCUCUCUCUCUCUCUCUCUCUUCCUCUGUCCUUCGCCAAUAUCAUCAUCAAAUCGUAUCAUACUCUUUCCCUCUUCUUUCUUCUUUUUUCUUUCUUCUUUCACUCACCUCACAACCAACGUUUUUCUGUUCAGUAGAACACGAGAACAAUCCCCUGCGGUCGCGUCUUCUCUUCCCUUUCCUACUACUUCGCUCGGCAGAUUUAUCCAUGGCGGUUCCUCCGUCGGUCGCUGCCUCUCCGGCGUCACUCUACGUCGGCGACCUCCAUUCUGACGUCUCUGACAGCCACCUCAUCGAUGUAUUCUCCGAGUUCAAGAGCCUUAACUCCGUUCGCGUCUGCAAAGACUCCUCCACCGGCAAAUCCCUCUGUUAUGGCUACGUCAACUUUGUUUCUCCUCAGGACGGUGUGUUUCGCCUCCAUUCACUUUUUCUUCGUUUAGGUUUGACGCAAGUAUGCUCCGUUUUCUUUUCAUGAAACCUUGAUUUUCGUUUGUUUCUAGUUUAAUUAAUUUCUCGUUAUGAUAUUAUAUAUAAACACGUUGGUUGCAUGAAAGAGAGCGACGGCGGUGUGUUGAUCGAGAUAUUUGAGUUUGUUUAUCGUGUUACUGAAAUGUGUUUGCUAUAGCAAUUCGUGCAAUCGAGACUAAGAAUCAUACGUUGCUGAAUGGAAAAAUGAUUAGAGUGAUGUGGUCGCGUCGCGAUCCUGACGCGAGGAAGAGCACUAUUGGGAACUUGUUUAUUAAGGUAUCUGUUAGACAAAGCUUUCUUUUGAAAAUUGAAAUGGUUAAGGCAUUGUUUGGUUCUUGGUUGUUUCUGAUGGGAUUUUUGCUGAGAGUUUCUUGUGUGUUGGCAGAACAUACCGGAAUCGAUAGAUAAUGCUGGACUGCAAGAUAUAUUCAAGAAAUAUGGAAAUAUUUUGUCCAGCAAAGUUGUCACGUCUGACGAUGGGAAGAGUAAAGGAUACGGUUUUGUUCAAUUUGAAUCGGAGGAAUCCUCUCAUGUUGCUAUAGAGAAGAUGAAUGGCUCUACUGUUGGUGAUAAACAGUUGUAUGUGAAAUUCAGCAUUGUAUCAUCAGUUAAUAUCUGUAAUUUACAUUCAAUUUCUGUACGCAUAUUAUUUUGUGAUGUUAACUAUAACCUGGUUAUGACGCUUGGCCAGAUAUGUCGGGAAGUUUGUAAAAAAAAGUGAUCGCAUAUUUCCUGGCGCGGAUGCUAGAUAUACAAACUUGUACAUGAAGAAUUUGGACUUGGGUAUUACAGAAGCAAAAUUGAAGGAGAAGUUUUCCUCUUUCGGGAAGAUUGUUAGCUUGGCUAUUGCAAAGGACCACAAUGGGAUGCCCAAGGGUUUUGGCUUUGUGAACUAUGAUAACCCAGAUGAUGCUAAAAAGGCAAUGGAAGGAAUGAAUGGAUCACAAUUAGGUAGUUCAUGCGCCCUUUUAGGCUUUCUGCAGGGUAAUGUCGAAAUUUCUUGAUGUAUAAGUGGUUUUUAUUUUUCAUAAACAGGUUCUAAGAUUCUGUACGUAGCCAGAGCGCAAAAGAAAGCUGAGCGCGAGCAGAUCUUGCACCACCAAUUUGAGGAGAAACGGAAGGAACAAAAAUUGAAAUACAAGGUGAUUUUCUAUGCCAUUCUCACAUAUUUAACUUGUCACUUAUGUUUUAGUUGUCUAAAGAGUGUCAACAUUUAACUCCAGGGGUCGAACGUUUAUGUGAAAAACAUUCAUGACAAUGUAAGUGACGAAGAACUGACGGAUCUUUUCAGUGCAUGUGGCACUAUAACUUCUGCAAAAGUUAUGCAAGAUGACAAAGGCAUAUGUAAAGGGUUUGGCUUUGUCAACUUCUCCACUCCUGAGGAGGCUAAUAAAGCCGUGAACACUUUUCAUGGUAAGCAAGUUAAGUCGAUUAUGAGGUUGGGUCUGCUCCAGUGUUUAGAUAAAUAUUCCAGCCCUUCUUAUGGAAUAGGAAUGCAAGUGCUUGCUUAUAUUUAUUGGAGUUAGUUUAAAAUAUACAGUGAUCUUAACCUACGAAAAUGAUUAAUGAACAUAUAACACUAAAAUGUAAAUUUAAAAGUUGAAAAUAGUAAUUACAUUUUAUUAGGUUUUCAUGAGUUCAAUACUUCAUUUUUGCAUAGAAUAUUUUUAAUACUUUUCCCCAUGUCUCUUACUUUUCAUGUAUAUUUACUAUUUAUAAUAUACUGUUCUAAUAAAUGUAAAAGGAUUUACGAUUCCAAUCGAGAUUCCACACCCAAGACUAUUUGUCUGCAAUGCCUUAAUUAUGAUUAAGUUGAUCUUAUGUGACACAGGAUUCAUGUUUCAUGGUAAACCACUGUAUGUUGCCCUUGCUCAGAGGAAAGAGGACAGGAAAGCACAAUUGCAGCUUCAAUACACACAGCAAAUAGGAGGACUAGCUGGACCUUCGACUACUAAUAUCCCUGGUGGAUACACUCCUUAUUAUUAUGCAGCUACUGGUGCUAUUUCACAUGUGCCUCCUCGAGCUGGACUGAUGUAUCAUUCUCUUGCAUUGAGGCCGGUAUGGGGAGCUAAUGCCUUUGCACCCCCUGCUAUAUCAUUUCAACAGUCAUCUGUUCCCGCAGUGAGUAAAAACUUUGUUUUGUAACCCAAUAAAUGCUUGUAUUUAUUCAAUUCUUCAUGAUUUUUUAGAAUGGAUCAUGAUCUUUUAGCACGAAGGAACGAAAUUGCUACAUUCGUUUUACUUAGAAAACUAGUCUUGUCUCAGUGAAAGCUGCAAUGAGUCGAAUAUAUGUCUUUCUUUCACAGGUUUCUAACAAUAAUAGGCACCAUAGGCAAAACAGGGGCAGGUUGAAUGGGCAUUCAGCAUCACAGGGAAAUACUCAGUCUGGUACUUAUUUGCAACAAGGCCAGCAGACUUCUCAGUCAACGAUCUCUCCAAGAGACUCAAGUACUCAGCAGGUUUGCCCUUUAUUUUUGUUUUCUUUGAGCUCCCUUUUCUGUUUACUUUGCUGUGAUAAAUGUCAUUUCAGGGAACAUACUCAACAAAUACAGUGGUGCUAGUCCCACUUGUUUUUAGAAACUGAACUUGAAACCAGGACUAGUAAAACAAUUGUUGUCUGUUUAGUUUUCAAUAUAGAACAAUUGAAAAUAGUUGAAUUUUAUUUCAAUACAAGCCAAUCCCUUUCUUUACAUGUGUUGAAAGUUCUUAUAUCUGAAGUUUCUAUCUUUUGAAGAGAACCGGACAGCUUAAGUAUAUACCCAAUGGACGCCAGCGUGAAAUGGAAAAAGGAUCUGGUUCCUCAUCCGCUACUUCAAAUUCUGGUAGGGGGUCCCAGGGGCCAGAAAUGCUGCAUAGCUUUCUUGCAGGGGCUGCUCCCGAGCAGCAGAAAGAGAUACUCGGAGAGCAUCUUUACAUGCUUGUUCAGAAACUAAAGGCAUAGCAAUCUUCUAUUCUCUUUUGCUUUUUGUUUUGAAGGUUAGGUUUUUAAAUUCUUACAGUGUGAUAUCUUUGAGCAGCCUAGCCUAGCAGCAAAAAUAACAGGUAUGCUUUUGGAGAUGGACAAUGGAGAAUUGUUGGUUCUCCUGGAAUCGCCGGAGGCUCUUUCCGUGAAGGUGGAAGAAGUUGUGGAAGUGCUUAAGAACACUAAGACCAAAGUGGACGUACUCCGUUCAAAUUACCUUUCAGCUGAAGUUGCAGUAAACUAAACACUUCAACCUGAUAUUUUAGUUUUAGCAUAAAUCACGAAGGGCCUCCAAAGAACUCAGAAAUUUGAGACAUGAAUUUUGACAUCAAUGUUUACCUUAGUGUUUCUUCUACACUAUAUUUCCUAAAGAAAAACAACUUUACGUCUUUUGGCCUUUAGGUUUGACAAAAUUUGGUAGUGACGAUAAGAAUCAUGGAUAAGUUUGUUUUUGGUUUUUUAUUACAUGGAUUAACUUCGAUGAAUCUUAGUUUUUUGGUUGCAUAUGCUAUGUAGAAUAUCUACACAUGUAACCAAUUUUUCAAUCGACUGUAAUACGCAAAACCAUCAAUUUACCUUUGUAAUUUGGAUUUAUCCUUCAGAUAUUGGCACCCUGCACUCUUCCACCUACCUCAAGCUGUAUUGGACUUUCGACAUUUCUUUUAUGGAUCUUUCUCUUGUAAUAAUUAGAUAUAGACCAUGACCAACUCAAUUCCUCAAGUUAGAAUAGGGACAACCAUACCACUCGACCCUUAACCAAAUCCUAAACCUAAUUCAUACCCAUAAUCCCUACCAUUAAAACCCUAAACCACCUAAUUCCAAACUUAAGUCUAACCCUAACCUCAAAUCCUACUGCUUAAACUUAAACCAUAAACACUAAUCCUAUCAUAACCUUAAACCUAUCUACUAAACAGGACAAAUUUUCAAAAUUAAGGUAUUUUGAGCCGUAAUUUAUAAUAUAUAUAUAUAUAUAUAUAUAUAUAUAUAUAUAUAUAUAUGAUAAUUUGAUUUUUUUCAUUUUUUUUAGAUUUAAGUAAAUAGUCACGAACCUAAAACAUAACCAUAAAUCAUAACUCAAGCUAUAACUCUAAUCUCAACUCUAACCAUAAAUAAUAAAUCAUGAAUCUUUAACCCAUACAAUAAACAUGAUAAACCCUAUCCCUAUGUCUCCACAUAUCCCUUACAAUAAUCCUAACCUUAAACACUACCAUAACCAUGUACUCACUCAUUUUUUUUUUCUAGGAAAAUAAUUUUUGGUUGUUUUAUUUUAAUAUUUUUUAAAAAAUGAAGUGAUCAAAAUAAAGCUACUAGUAAGAAAAAGAAUAAUUAUUAUAAAAUUAUUUAAAAUUUGAUUUCAUAUAUUUAUAUUUUUUAUUUAGACCUAUAAAAUUAAAAUUAUUUUUAAAACAAUUAUUUUUUUAUGAUUUAUAUUUUGUUACAACUCGUUCUAAUUUACAUGCAUUAACAUUUUAGUAAGUAACUUGAUUUGAAUUGUACUUUAAAAAUAAUAUUUUGUUUGAUUUUAUAUUUUAAAGAUUUAGUUAAGUAAUUUUAUUUAAAUUUAACUCUAAUCCUAAACAUAACUUUAUUCAUAAUCCUAAACAUACAUCUUAACAUUGACCCUAAAACUCUAAUUCUAACAUUAAUCUUAUACCCUAACUAAUAAAUCCUAAAUCCUAACUUUCAAACAUUAAAUACUAAACUUUAAACCCUAAUCAUAAACCAUAAACACUAAACAAAACAUAACCAUAAACCCAACCCAUAAGCCAUAAAUCCCCAAUCCUAAUUAACCCUAACUUAACUCUAACACAUACCUCUAAUCCUAACUCAAACACAAACAAACACUACCUUCUAACACUAAAUACUAAAUCUUAGUCCUUAGUUCUAUUUUGUGACCUUUAAACCAUAACAAUUAAUUCUAAUAUGUAACUCUUAACGUCUAUCUUAAACCCUAAAAAAUCUCAAAUCUCAAACCUCAAACUAUAACUUUAACUUUAACUUAAAGCCCCUAACAACAUUAAACAAUAAACCAUAAAACCUAACUUAAAUCACAAGUCAUAACCUUAAGCCUUAAAUUAUAAACAUUAAACAGUAACCCUUAGACCAUAAGCCCUAACCAAUAAAUCGUAACUCUUAAACCUACUAGUAUCUCUUAAACCUAAGCCCCAAACCCUAGGCUUUAAAAUUGUAAAUCCUAAACAACAACUCUUAUACCUUGACUCAUAAAUCCAAAACCAUAAAAUCAUAACAUCAUAAAUAGGUUUCAUUGUUUUUUAUUUUGAAAAACUCCUUUCAAACUUAAACCCUAACCCCAAACCGUAUCCCAUUUCUCUUAAUUCCCUAUUCCCUAAUCCUUAAACCUAUAAACCAUGAUCAACUCAAAUCCUCAAGUUUGUAUAAGGACAACUAAACCCUACCCCUAAACCAUACUACUCCACCCAAAUCUUAAUUGUAACCUUAAUUCUUAAAACUUAAUACUAAAUCCUAACUAUAACCCUAAUACUAACCCAAAAGCAUAACCCUAACCUAACACUAAUCUUAACUUUUCCUAACCCUAAACCCUAAACCCUAAUCCUUAUAUUUACAUCCUAACCUUAACCCAUAACCCCAAAUCUUAACAGUAAAUCAUAUUCUUAACUUUAAUCAUAACUUAACAUUACUAUAACCCUAACCUUAACAUUAAUUAUAUACAUAACCAUACUCUCUAAACAUUAAAUGAUAAACCUUAAACUCCAAACUGUAAUUAUAACUCUAAUUUAAAUUGAUGUCCUUCUACUAAGGGUAUAAUCUUUUUUAAAUAAGUGCAAUUAUUUGACUUUAGUACAACAAAAUGGUAUUUACAUGGAUUUAGUGAUCUAUUUAAGUUUCCAACGUAAAGAGUUUCGAUAUAAGAAUAUAAUGGGAUACAAUUUAAUAUUUAAACUAAUUUUCUUGUAUUAGUUGUGAGUGAUGAUACGUUGGUGAUUUAAGAAUGAUAAAUCAUAUAUCAACUUAGUUGUGAAAAUUUAUAUAAAUUUUGAUGUUUUGGUACAAAUAUUAAUUCAGCAUUCACAACUAUAUCUUAAAGUUUGAAAAAGUAUUAAUAUGUUUGAGAUUAAGUUUUCAUGAUCAAAAGAAUUUAAAUAAACUUGUUUGUUAAGUGUGUAUAUAUAAAAUUUAAAAAUAAUAAAAAUGUAGUUGAAAUCAUAAUAAUAUUAAAACCUUAGAUUAAAAAUCUAAAACCUGUUAUUACAUUAAUUAUUAACUACAAUAAUAUAAAAGGUUAAAUAUGUUUUUAGUCCCUAUACUUUGGGGCGAUUUUUGUUUUAGUCCCUCUUUCAAACUAUGGUACAAUUUAGUCCUUCAACUUUAGAAAACUCUGGUUUUAGUCCUUUUUACCAAAUUUUUUUAACUUUAUUUUUUUGUUUCAAGCACGUUUCAUUGUAGCAUUUGAAUUGUUUAUACUGUUUGACAUAUUUUUGCUUCAAUGUUAACUGAGAAACACCUUUGAAAUAACAAAUAUAAAGUUAAAAAAAAAUUAAUAAAAAAGACUAAAAACGAAAUUUUCUAAAGGUGAAGGAUUAAAUUGUAUUAUAAUUUAAAAGAGGGACUAAAACCAAAAUCGCUGGUAAAGAAUAAAAACAUAUAUUUAACCCUUAUAAAUGUAUAAAUAUAAGUGCAAGAACACGAGUUAGAUGAAAGUUAUCGUGUCGUGAGAAAGUUUUCACUAUCUCCGCGUUUCAAUUAAUUCACGUUGCAGAGGUUUAAAUUGGCAGCGCCGACAUACCACUCCAAUUUCUUUCUUCGUUCACCAAAGCCACAACACAGUUUUGCUUUCGCUGAAUUUUCGUUACAGAAUGGGGAGGAGUAGCGGAAGAGACCGAAGACGAAGAAGAUCCGAUGAGUCGGAAUCCGAGUCACCGUCCGAUUCCGACUCGGACCGACGCCAUCGUAGCAGUAGCCGCAGGUCUAGGCGUGACUCAGACGGAGAUAGGAAGAAGAAGAAGAAAUCCUCGAUGAACAUUACAGAAGAGGAAAUCGCGCAGUACAUGACCAAAAGGGCCCAAUCGAAGGUCUUCAUCUAGUUUCCCUAUGCCCUUCUUGUCCCUUCACCGUUAGAAUUCGCAUAUUGAAUGACUUUCCAUUGUUUCAGGCUAUGAAAGUGGCAAAAAAGUUGAAAACCAGUACGGUGUCAGGCUAUUCCAACGAUUCGAAUCCGUUCGGUGACUCCAAUCUCAAUGAGAAGUAAGUUGCUGCCAAUUUGACUUUGUUCUUCGUAUCUGGUGGUUAAAUUAAACUUAUUUUUGCGUCACAAUACAUAAAUCUUGAGAUAAGUUGUGGUCGCUUUUAUAGAUUGUAAACCUACACAAAUGUUAUGUGUAGGUUUGUUUGGCGCAAGAAGAUUGAACGCGACGUUUCUCAAGGUGUGUCUAUUGAUACGUUUUCUGUUAAGGCCGAGAAAAAAAGACAGAUAGAAAGGAUGGUAUGUACUUGAAUCCAUGAAUUUUGUUUGGGUAAAAUGUGAUAUAGGUUCUCAAUUUUACCUUAAAAUUGAUUUUAGAUAUACUUUAUAAUCGAUAGAUUUUCUUCAUUGCAUAUUUUUGUAAUUCGCUGAAAGUUAAAGGGAUCUAUAACACAAUUUUCCCUUUUUAUUUUAACCGGCAUGAUACGGGAUAUAUGUUGCAUGGUCAUUAUUUGUUUCUACCUCUGCAACAUUUCCUAUACACUUGAUUUAAAAGCUUUAAAGCGAUAAUUAUAUAUCGGUAUCUUGAUACCAAUUUGGUUCCUGGACCAUGUAUGCAAAUGAUCUCAUAUAUAUACUUUUCCCCUUCAAUUUAGUUACCUCAUUGGGGAUGAAUGGGAAUCUGGUUUGCUUUCGUUAUAUUAAAAUAGGGUUUAUGGAAAAGGUCUAUGCAUGAGCUUGGUUUGGGUGCAAUGUCAAGGUUUUUGGGGUCUCUACCACUUUAAAUCUCAGAUAGAGAUUGCUGGUGGGCUUUCCUAAAAAUCAUAAAAUUACUAAUAUUAAUGACAUUUAUAAUUCAUAAGUAACAAUAAAAACUCAUAGAUGUCUUAAAGCAUACAAGUAAAUACCAACAAAAGUCUAAUGCAAUCUUCCUAUACAGGAAUCAUCAAUCAUCACCUUCAAAAUCCAGGCCUUUAUUAUUUUACUGCCACUGCAGCUGUAGAUCAUUUUUGGAAUUUCAAAUCCCAAACUUAGGUCCCCAAAAAGGCCCAAUGUAUCUGCGCAAAGCGAUUUCUUAGGAUCAACAUGUAGCGUCACUAUUAGGAAAUCAAUCAUAUGCCGAAAUUCUUGGAAUAAAAUAUUAUAACUGUUCAUAUAAGAUUAGUUGAUUUAUGAGGGUUCUAUUGUAGAUUAUAGGAACAUAAUAGCAUAAUUAUAGAUAUUAUCAAAAAUAUAAAAUUUUUAUUUUUUUAUUUUCGUUUUCCUUUUAUUUCCUUUCUUUACAUGUUAUAAAGGGUGACAACGAUCUUCUGCUCAACCAUUCCUCUCCCUUCUUUUUUUUUUCUAUCCUUGUUUCCAUGGCUAAUGAUGCAAAUAAACCAGAUUCCAACAAUUCUUAUUCUCUCCAUCACUCUGACCAUCAUGGAAUGAUUCUUGUUGUCCGCACCUGUUUUUUCACUCCAUACACCUUGAGUGUCUAUAUGGUAAAAUUCUUUCUUAUUCAUACAAUAGAGUUUUUUUAUGUCUUGCUUAUGCUACUAAUGUUCAUGUUUCUCAUUAGUUUUCUCCACGUACCCAAAGAUGUGUUUUUCUUGGUUAUCCUCUUCUAGUUCAGACAACUCACAAAUUAUAUGAUCCUGAAACUCAUCAAAUCAUAAUUGGUUAUGAUGUUUUCCAUGUGGAUAUUUUUCUCUAUGAAUCCAUUGACACUUCCCCAACCACCAUAGACCUUGUCAUACUUAAUAUUAUUCCUAAUAAUCUUACUUGGGAGACUCUUUCAUGCACUCAACCAACACCUACAAAACUCAUCCCUGUCACUUCUAUUGCUCUGCUUUCUCAUGUGUUGUUCCAGCUGUCUCAUGUUCAACCUGCAACUUUAGGUGAUUAUAUUUAGAUAACAUUUUUUGACCCAAUGUCAUCUUAAUCAUAUUUUCCAAACAAACAAAGGUACACAUAAUCUUUGCAAUUUUAUAUCUUAUGAUUGUUAAUUUGUUACACCCCUCAACAUCGGUCUUUUAUUGCCACUAUUACUAAUGAUAUUAAACCUACAUGUUAUGCUUAAGCUGCUUCUCAGACUCAUUGAUAAGAUGUCAUUGAGGCAAUGUCAUCUGUGUUGGCUGCUUUGGAGGCCGAUAAUGCUUGGUCUCGAACAUCUCUUACUACUGAAAAGUAGGCUAUUGGUUGUCAUUGGGUUGGGUGUAUACAAUCAAGCACAAAUCCUAUGGUUCUCUUGAACGGUAUAAGGUGCCCCUAGUUGCAAAGGGAUAUAUACAACUGGAAGGAAUUCCGUAUCAUGACACCUUUUCACCCAUUGCUAAAAUGGUUACAGUAUGCUGCUUAUUAGCUUUGGCAGCUGCUCAACAUUGAUUCUUCAUCAACUUGAUAUCCAUAAUGCUUUUAUUCAUGGUGAUCUUUCUGAAGAAAUCUAUGCAUCUCUUCCUCCUGGUUUUCAUCAAUAGGGGAGAAUAUUAUGCGUUGUCUCAGCAAGUCCUUAAAACCCUGGUCUUUGAGAUUGAAGUUGUGUUCACAAUUGCAUUUGUCCUCAAUUUCCUACAAAAUCAAGGAAUUUGACAACCAUGACUACAACUGCAACUUAAAAAUUUGUACUAAAUCUAUAGCUGGGAAUGGGUUCAAUGGAUUGAACUAGUCCAAUAAUAGUAGAUAUAGUUUUGAAUUAAAUUGUAUUGUGGUGACCCUUUGCGGCUUUGUUCUUUGCUUUCCCAAAUUUGUUGGUCCUUUUUUUGGUCAUUGAUGGCCUAACAGCUAAACGUUCUCACUUCUAUGAUAACAAUAUUGCAGGCAGAAAUUGAAAAAGUGAAAAAGAGAAGAGAGGAAAGGGCACUCGAGAAAGCUCGGCACGAGGAAGAAAUGGUAUGUCCUUUCUCAUAAUUUGUUAUUAGUCCAUAAUUAUUGUGUAGUGUUAACCUAUUAUUAGUUUUGGGCUUGUACUAGUUCUAUGGUACUUCAUUUUACACUUUACAUAAAUAUAAAGUUAUAUAUAAGUAUUACAUCAGCCUCUGGGAUCUCACGCAAUUAUAUUGUCUCCUUUCUAACUAUUUUGUUGAAUUUCAACAUUUGCCAUUUUUAUCAUGGCACUGUAUUUUUGUGUGGUCAUAUUCUAAUAUGAAACACCAAUCAUGUCCUUGCCAAUUAUGUCCUGUCCUUGUUUUUUGAUUUGUUUUUGGGGUUGGGGCACAAUGCUGUAUGGCUUUUCACUUGGCCCAAAUAUAGAAAUUUUCGAGUCAAGCCUAGGCUUGAUUUGUAGACUGUUGAUGGAGCAUAAACUAUGUUAUAUCAUCCUGAUUUAACAGAUUCUUUCUCCCAGGCACUGUUAGCUAGAGAACGUGCUCGAGCUGAGUUUCAGGACUGGGAAAAAAAAGAAGAAGAGGUACUGUAUCUUUAGUUGUUUUUAUUUAUUUGUUGUUAUUUUAUAUAAUAUUGUCAGUUUUAUUGACUUGGAUAAUUUAAUCUGCAGUUCCAUUUUGAUCAAAGCAAAGUUAGGUCAGAAAUUAGAUUGCGUGAAGGGCGUGCCAGACCAAUUGAUGUCCUAACCAAGCAUCUCAACGGCUCUGAUGAUUUGGAUAUAGAAAUAAAUGAACCAUAUAUGGUCUUCAAGGUUAUUUUAGAGUUUUUCUUUUCAUUUUAUUUGUCCUCACUGUUCUAAUGUUAUAUGGUAUGACUAAGGAUAUCCAGAUAAUAUUAUUGGACAAGCCACAUAAUGAUUUGAUAUAUGGUGCAGGGUUUGACUGUAAACGAAAUGAACGAGCUACGUGAUGACAUCAAAAUGCAUCUGGACCUUGACAGGGCAACACCAACUCAUGUAGAAUAUUGGGAGGUAUCACCCUGUUUCAUUUCCAUGGUUCAUUAUGGGAUACUUAAUUUAUGGGUUCUACCUUAUCUAUAUUAUGGCAACAACAAAUUGAGGAUACUAUUUAAACAAAAUUUGAGGUGCUUUGGAGCCCAAAUGACUUGUUGACUUUCAUGACCUUUUCCUGUUUCAGUUAAUUUGUAUGACUAGUAUGGUUGGUAUUGUGUUUAAAGUUCAAAGCACAUUGUUUAAUGUCGUCUUCAUGUAGGCACUCCUUCUGGUGUGUGAUUGGGAGCUAGCAGAAGUGCGAAAAAAGGAUGCGUUUGACCGAGCUAGAGUGCGAGGAGAAGAACCUCCUGCUGAGCUGCUUGCAGAAGAAAGGGGAUUGCAUUCCAGUGUUGAGCCAGAUGUAAAGAGGCUUUUGCAAGGAAAGACACGUGCAGAAUUGGAGGCUUUACAAGUUCACAUUGAAUCAGAAAUGCGUUCUGGUACAGCAAAGGUGGUUGAAUACUGGGAGGCCAUUUUAAAACAUCUCCACAUUUAUAAAGCCAAGGUAUUUCUCGUCACAUUAAUUUCCAAUUCUUUUCCAUGGCUUUAGGCAAUGGUUGGUUUUGACUAUUAUUAAAUUACUCCAAGUACAGGCUUGUUUGAAGGAAAUUCAUGCUAAAUUGCUACGUAAGCAUUUGCAAUCUCUCGAGAGACCAUUGGAGGAUGAAGAUAAAUUGGAGGAUGCUAAUGUUAUGAUACCUGACGAGGAGGAAGAUACAGAGGAUGAUAUUAAAGGUAAAAGAUUUUGUCUGUUAUGACAUUUAGUUGUACAUGAAAAAACUGUUAUUUCCAAUCAUCUCAAUUUUCAUACUGAAAUUUGUUGUUCCUUUUUCUUGCUAGUCCGAUCUCUAGAUGAAUCAUUUUCACCAGAACCCAUUAGAGGGGAACAAGAAGAUGAAGACGAGGCUGGAUCAUUUUCGCCACAACUGUUGCAUGGUGAUGAAAGUGAGGAAGCUAUUGACCCUGAAGAGGAUAGAGCCAUGCUGGUAAUAUUUCUAACCAUAAUUUUUAAUGGUGAUCUCCUACUUAAUUUAGAUAUUUUAUAACCCUGUACACUUAUAGGAGCGGAACCGCAAGGCUGUCUUAGAAGAACAGCAAAGACGAGUUCAGGAAGCAAUGAUAUCAAAGCCAGCUCCUUCUGAAGAUAAUUUUGAGAUGAAGGCUUUAAAAGCUAUGGGGGAUAUGGAAGAUGGAGAUGCGGUGUUUGGAUCUGGUGCUGAAGUGAGCCUGGAUUCCCAGGUAUAGUAUCUUGGCCUUCUAUGACAUGACAAUUACGGAAUGUCACAUGACAUUAACUUGCCCUUUGCUAUGAUUCUUUGAAUUUUUCAUCGGUAGAAAAAUAUGUAGUUAUUAUUAGAUAGGAUGCAACAUUCUGCAGCUCAUUUUUAAAAGGUAGACCAGUUUGUUUUUGUAUUAAAAGCUAUCUUUUCCUUUUUUUUCUCUAUAAAUUCCUUAGUUUUCUUUAGAGCUUUUCUCCAAAUGUAUUUUCCCCAACUUCUAUCAUUUAGAGUAGAAGAAAAGCUAUGGAAAAGUUAGGUGAAACACUACCUAAAGAGUGUGUUAUCAUGUAGUUAGUACACUCCCUGUGGUAUAGUUUCGUAUUUUUUAAUGAGAAAUCGAAAACUUGUUGUUUUUUCUCCUUUAAAUUUCCUAAUGGUCUGAAAAAUGUUGGAGCAGGUUUAUUGGUGGCAUGACAAAUACAGGCCUAGGAAGCCGAAGUAUUUCAACCGUGUUCACACUGGAUACGAGUGGAACAAAUAUAAUCAGACUCACUAUGAUCAUGACAACCCACCUCCAAAGAUUGUGCAAGGAUACAAAUUUAAUAUUUUCUAUCCUGAUCUUGUAGACAAGACAAAAGCCCCAACUUACACCAUUGAGAAGGAUGGCAGCAAUGGGGAGACUUGCAUUAUAAGAUUCCAUGCUGGGCCACCGUACGAAGACAUAGUAAGUCUAUUAUCCUUUGUGUUAUGAAGGAUAUUCAGUUUUUAAUCAAUUUACUUAUUUUAUUAUGUUUUCCAUCAGGCUUUCCGCAUCGUAAACAAAGAAUGGGAAUAUUCUCACAAGAAGGGUUUUAAGUGCACAUUUGAACGUGGAAUUCUGCACGUGUACUUUAAUUUCAAACGCCACCGCUACCGCAGAUAAUUUCGCUCAAGGCAAUGGUUUACUUUAUGUAAAGUUUUUCCUACUAGAAGGGCUACGUGUCUGCUGCCAUUUUUAAUCGUGAAAUUUGUGCCAUGGUGCUGGCAGUAGAUAUAAAUGGCCAGGAAGUUUACUACUGAGAUUGAGACCAGGAAGAAAUUCAAAGGUACUAUUAGAGUAAGUAAUACCCGCACCGGUUAAAGUCUGAUCCAAAUCUUAUCAUGAUAUUCUAGACUUGAUUUAAGGAAAUAGUACGGUUAUUCCAUUGCUAUAACUAAAUCGAGACCAAGGGUCUUUCCAAACGCUGAGAUACUAAUUACAUGUCUUAUUUUUUUAUUUUGGUGCACACAUUGUUCUCUGAAUCCUGUCUGAUUUAACUAGGUUUUCCUCAUCAUUGUAGAAAAUCACAUUGUCCAACUGUUUUUGUAGAAAAAGUUUAUAUUGUACCUUGAAAAUGGUUGUAAUCUCAUGAGGUGAAAGAAUUUGUACAAUUUGAUUUUCAUUAUAACCCUUCUUGCAUUUUGUUUAUAAUAUGCUCCUUGUUUUAGAAGGUGCCAGAUUUUCGGCUCAUGUGAUUGCUGAUUUUGCAUUAAAAAAAUUACACUAGGGAACCAUUGAAUGAGAGCAUGUUGAACUGGUAAAAGCUCAAGAAAUAAGAAUUUAGGUAGCCUUAAAAGAGUAGCGUGUUUGAUUUAAGUCAAUUCCAAUCUCACCCUCACUGGUUAUUUGUUGUACGUGAUCAAACAGAUUCAGACUAAUAGGUUUCUAUCGGUGAGUAGUGUUAUUUGAUGUUAAACUUUUCAAAUGUAUUGAUUUUUCACAUAUCCCCCAUCCGCGUAUUUGACAAAAUAAUGGGCGUACAUAUUCACACUAUUGUGUGUUUUUUUAUGUGGCAGUGUCAUGCUGUUACGGUUACAAGCGUAUCUUACAUUACUCUCUUAAUUAAUUGUUUGUCAGUAUAAGUUCUGGUUUUUUAUCAUAGGAAUUCUACUCUACAAUCAACGUAAGAAACAUUAUGGAUUCUUAUUUUAACCAGCGCUUCGAUUUUAAGUCUUAUAAUAUAAACGGAGUCAAAAAACAAAUAUUAUUCAACUUAACACGAGAUGUUUUGUUUUUGUUAAUUAGGUCAACAUAAUAACAAUAAACUGAAAGAAAGUUGAAUGAAUAAGGAUAUUGAAAGCAAUGGUGCCAUACUUUAAUAUUGAUGUUGAAUAAGGAUCAUAGACAGCAACCUUUAACAAUCAUUGAAGUUGUUGAAGAAUCAUUGACCACAACUUUUCAUAGUUGUUGAAGAAUCUAACACCAUAGCCUUAAGUGCUGGGAAUUAGAAUAAAGGCUGAACCAGGAAUGACACAACUGACCAUGGAAUUCCCCAGCUAAGCAAAACAUAUGGAAAAAAUAAAAUAAAAUGUUAAAAGGAUAAUCCUCAACAAAAUAUACAAAUACUUUCUUCAACACUUCUAUUUUUUAAAUACUGUUUUGUGGAGUAAAUAGUCUUUUUGAACAUGGAAAUAAAAGGCCGUGUAAGAUUAAUCUAUAAAACUAAUAAAAUGUUAUAAUUACGUAUAUGAAAUAUUAAACAAGUUUUAAACUUAAUCUGUUAUUUUUUUAAUUACAUGAAAGGUUAUUAUUUAAUUACAUUUUAUGUUUAUUUUUUACUAAUUAGUACACUUUCAACCCCCCCCCCCCCUUUUUGUAGUUUUAUGGACUACUUUAACUAUGUUUUUUUAAUUUUAAGGAAUAAAAGAACUCUUUAAACAUAAUUCUAUUUUGUAUUAUUUUCCAUAAAUUAAAACAAAAAUGAAAGAGAACAACUGUUUUGGUCGACUGAAAGAAAUGAAAUUGAUUUAAUAAAAUGUCAUUAUUUAUUAUUAUUUGAUUUCUUUGAGAAAAUUGAAAUAAAAAGACAUAUGGCAUAACAUUUACGACGUGUUUUCUAUUAUUUUAUUCGAGAUUAGCAUAAACAACAUUCAUCGAUUUCCUUAUCAAUUCACCUAACCAUUGUUUAAACAUCAAUAAGUGUACGGUAGCUUUAUUUUAUUUCAUUAAACCCAUCAUUAAAAUAUAUAUGAACACGUAUAGUAAUGUUUGAAUUCGUUAAAAACUGAAAUAAAAUGCCAUUAAUCUCAUUAUUUAAAUUGUUUAAAAAUUAGAUAACCUCAUGCAUAAUAUUAUUAUUAUUAUUAUUAUUUUAUUUCAUUUUUAUCCUAUAUAUUUUUUUUCUUUUAGUGUAAAAUAUAACAAUAAUUUACAUCUCUUCACAAAAUUUACGUUUUGUUUGAAUUAAACGAUGCAAAAUGAAAUUAUAUAAAAUAAAUAGAGUAAGAGAAUAACAAAAUAAGUAAAAAACUAUUUAAAUUAAAAAAACGAAAAAAAAUAUUUCUACCAUAAUAUUAUUUUAAUUAUUUUUAUAUUUAUAUUUUAUGAUUUUUAUUAUUUUAUAAAUAUUUGAAAAUUAAAAAGCAACAUAACUAACUAAUUAUGAUUAUAUUAUAUAUCGAUUAAGGUAUCAACAUGCAAAUUUAAUAGAUUAUAUUGAGUUUUUGUGUUUUUCUUUUUUCUUUUUCGAAGUUGAAUUUGCAUAAUAUUUUGCAGUUUCUACAUUGGUGACUGAAACGACACCCAUGUGCAUAUUUUAAUCUGUUUUAAUAUUGUAACAUAGGUGUUUAGGCAAUAAUUAUCAAAAUUUGGAUAGAGAAAAUAUAAAUAAACUGUGUUAAUCAUUAGAUGUGCUAGACAUACAUAGAAAAUAUUACUAUCUGCAUGCAUGCUUCCUUAGUUUGUCUGCACGUGUCUUUCUGUACUAGACAUCAGUUUAUGGUCACGCUUAAGUAAUAAUUCAAUUUACAAUUUUCGUUUUCUUUUCAACUUUCCAAUAUAAAAGGUUUUUUCUUUUCUCAAAGUUGAAAUGAUUUAGGUUAAAGUUAGUGGCAUGCAACUGGAGGACCCAAAUUAAGAAAUAUCAUUUUAAAAGAGUAAUUUUUGUUCUCUUGAUGAAAGUUUACUCCAAAAGAUUUAUAUAAUGAAAUGGGAUUAUUCACAUAAAAAACAGGUUUAAUGCUUAAUGAUAUGGGUUUGGUUGUUAAUGGAUAUAUAGAAGAAUAGCGUAGUGGUGGCUGCGCGUGGACCUAGGAUGUGGAAUUUGCAUAAUUACUUGGCUACUACGAAUCUAGUGUUGCCAUUACCAAGACCUGCUAAAUUUUUUGUGAUGAUUACUUUCCCAUAUUGCAAGGAAGAAGAAGUCUGUAAAGUUUGGAGAAUAAUGCAAAAUCAAACAUAAGAGGAACUAAUCACAUUGCUUUUGACUUAUCCCACUUAAAAGUGCUUUUUAAUUUUUCCCAGUUCUUCCCAACCCAAUCAAAUCCUUUGGAAUCACUUUACUUCCUUUCUCAGUGGGCUAAUCACUAUCAUUGCCACUACCUUCUUUUUCUAUCAAUACAGAUACUAAUAAUAAUUAAAUACUAUAUAUCUACUACACACUUCAUUUAUAAUCAAACACAAACCACACGUGUACCUACUAUUUCACUCUCCUUCUUCAAUCCUAAUUAUGCAUAGUAGCUUUUGAACAAUAUCCUUCAUACUUGGCCUUUCAGCUUUCUUCUCUCUCAGACAUUCAAGUGCAAGCUCCAAGAACACUUUUAUGCUUGUCAACAUUUUAUCUCCCGAGCUCUCUAUCGAAAGAAGCCUUUGAUCCACCAAUUCCAUGAUUGUACCAUUGCUCGCACGUUGGUUCACAUGAAUUGCCAGGUUCACAUCAUCUUCAUCACGACUGAAGUCAAUCGCUUUUUGUGAAGUCAAAAGCUCUAGCAACACAACCCCAUAACUAUAAACAUCACUUUUAUCUGUUAACUGAUAGUUGCGGUAGUAUUCAGGAUCCAAGUACCCCAACGUUCCCUGAGCACAUGUUGAAACGUGACUUAGUCCUGGGCUAGCCAAUCUGGAGAGUCCAAAAUCUGAUACCUUGGCAUUGAAAUCAUCAUCCAAUAGUAUGUUUGUUGACUUAACAUCUCUGUGGUAGAUUGGAGUGUGUGCAGCCGAAUGCAGGUAGGCCAAUGCCUCUGCAGUUUGAAAAGCAACCUUGAGCCUCGUUUUCCAGUUUAGAAAGUUGGAACAAUACUUGCCAUGAAGAUGGUCGUAGAGUGUCCCGUUUGAGAUAUAGUCGUAGAUCAUAAAUGGUAGCUCAGAUUCCACACAGCACCCCAAGAGCCUGACCAAGUUCUUGUGAUUGACUUGAGAGAGUAUUGCAACCUCAUUAAGCACUUGUUGGGUGCUUUUCAGGUUUCCCACUCUAGCUUUCUUCACUGCCACUAAUGUUCCAUCUUGUAGCUCACCUUUGUAAACUUCCCCAAAGCCACCACUUCCCAAGAACCUCUGUUGGGAAAAACCAUUUGUUGCUUUCUUCACCUCUUUCAAUUGAAACAUCCUACAAGGCUUAUCCCCAGCACUUGAUUUCAGUUUGUCUUCUCUUUCCUUCGCUUUAUUAUCUCUAUAGGUUGAGAUUUUGCGGGACUUUGAGAUGAUGGUCAGAACCACAACGAGAGAGAAAAAGGUAACAACAGCCCCUAUUGAAACCACCAAGCUGGUUUUCCAUUUGGGUUUUCUCUCAUACUUCACACUCACACACGUUGUGACAAAAGGGUCCCAACGGUGUCCCCCAUUACAAAGACAGCGAAAUAAACCACUUCUACCAGAAGGGGAACACGUAGAGUCUCCAGAGCAAUCCUUUUGUGUCUUGCACACUGGUUCAGGUGGAAGAGCCCAUUGAAUUUCAAGCCCUUCCUCCCACUGAUUAGGAGGCUUGUCCUGGUUCAAAUGAAGGAUGCUUCUGAAUGCUUUGCAGCCAGACUCAUGAAGCCUGAUCCUGUAAGCUGAAGGUAUCCCACCGGCUAGAAAAGUGCAGCAAGGGUGAAGACCGCUUGCACAAUCAAGCGCUCGUUUUGUGUCAACAUGACCUGAACUCUCUAAGUAACGAUGGCAAACACUAGAAUAAGUGCAGUUGAGAGGAGAAACCAAGAGGCGUGGGGAGCAAUUAAGGAGGAACACUGUAUUGGAUGAAGUUAUAUUGAAAGGAAGUGACUGGUUCAACCAUAUACCGUUGCUUCUGGGCAUGUCUUGUGUAACACAGGAACCUGCUAACCAAGGUGAUGGCUCCACCACCAUGCGUUGGAUUGAAGGCAUGAUUCGGAGAAGGAGAUAGGAACUUCCAUUGAGGGUGUCGAAGUAAAGCUUUUGAGAGUGGGAAUCACAACGAAGCUUGUAGUAUGGAUCACCACAACUUGGAUGUGUGCUCAAAGGAUAUGGAACUUGCAUAGAGCCACAGUUUGGGCAAGUGUUCUGUGAAGCAGUGUGAUGGAGAAGGAGAAUGAAAAGAAAUAGAAAGGUAUAAGAAUAGCAACAAUGGAAGCAGGGUCUCAUGUUGCAUGGGGAAUUAUUAGGGAAGAAACAUCUUAUGAACUGAAAGAUACACGAUCAAUAAAUAUAAAGGGUGCACCCAGUUACUGCAGAAAAAAGUGGCUGCAAGAAUCUACCACAACGAAUACUAUUCUAGCCCAUCCUACACCUUAGGUCCACCUUCGCCAACUGUAUAAUUCUCGGAAGCUCAUAUUUAAACAAAUAUUUUUAACAAUUUUUUUAGAACACAACACUCUCACCAUUUUAUUAGUAUGUUUGAAUUUAUUUUAAAAAAAAUAUUUGAAAUGGAUUAAUUAUAAACUCUCACGUAUGCAUUGUCAAAAAAGAAUUGUUAAAAAAAUUGUUUCCAUGAUUCUUGGAUCGUGAUAUUUUGAAAACUAUUAAAAGAAAUUUUUUCAUAAAAAAAAAAUUCUUUUAACAAUAAUUUUUUAAUAACUUUUUGAUAAUACAGUUAUGAUUAGUUCAUUUUAAACAUUUUUAAAACAUAAAUUCAAAUAGACUAAUAAAAUGAUAACAUAUAGUUUGUCAUAAUAUCAUCAUCUUUUUCAUAAUUCUCAAGCAUAUUUUUAUAAUAUCAUCAUCUUUUUCAUAAUUCUCAAGCAUAUUUAUAUGGAGAGUUAAUUUUUCUUUUACCUAAAUGGACAUGCCAUGUUACGUAUGGACAAAUUUUAAAAAUAUUAAUAGGCAAGUUGUGGAAUCCCGUGUAUAUCUUCAAGACGCCUUCAAGUCUAACAAAUGGAAAAGUUGAAGUUGUGCAUACAGCUUCAAUUACAUGACUACAACUUAUAAUUGAUUACAUCUUCGGUGUAAUCAAUUACCAAGCAUUUAAUGGUAAAACACUAUUUUAAUUGAUUACAGAUAUUAGUAAUCGAUUAUCCUACGAGAGUUUGCUAUAGAAGACAUAUUUUAACCGUUGAUUAAAUGAUUUCUAGUUUAUAUUAAUAAUAAUGUAGGUAGAAUAUCGUAAAAUACAAGGUAGAAGACUAAAUUAAUAAUAGUAAAAAAUUAUGAAUACAAAGAUGUAAAAAUUAUUGAUGAAAUGAAGAUGUUUUUUAUGAUGACUUUUGUUGUGAGAUUAAGAACAACUUUUAGAUUUAUCCAAGAUUGGGAAUUACAUCCUCGAAUAAUUAAUUACACUGAUGAUAUAAUAAAUUAACAUUAUAGAGUAGACUAUAACUUGUAGUAAUCUAUUACCACACAUUAAAAUUGUGUGAGGGUACUCAACUUCAACUUUUCACAUUUGUCUCUGGAAUUGUUUUUGUGAAUGCAUCACUUCUUUAUAUAAAAUUAUACGGAAAUUACACGAGUUAUCAUUUAGGUAAUUUUUUUAAAAUUUGUCUAUACAAUAUUUGCCCAAGAAAAAAAAAAGUUAAUUAUUAUGAAUAAAAAUAUUAUUUUGAUAAUUUUUAUAAACGUAUCUUAUUUAAAAGUAAAGAAAAUUAUGUAAAUGAUUUUUUUUUUCAAUUUUAAACAACUCGGCAUUAAAAUUAUAAGUAACUUUUUUUACAAAUCUCUAAAACAUUUAAAACCGAAUCAAACUCGAUCCAUCUUUUAGUUCUUUUAAUUAUAUGUUAUCCAAAAUUUAAUAUAGAUUAUGAUGGUUUAUUUAUAUAAUAUUUUUUUAUGUUAGAAUUAAUGUUGAAUAAAAUUUGUUAGAAUAAGUUUUGGGUGAUUCCAAUAUCAUCUUAAAAAAAAUUAAAUUUAAUCAAACUUUACAAAGAAGAGAGAUUUAUAAGAUGGGACUUAUGUCUCCCUAUAUACUUGAAACUUAUUUUAUGUAAAAUCUUUAAUAUGAACUCUUUUUUUUUAUCGUGAAAGGACAAUUUUCUUUAAAGUUAAAAUAUAAUUAUUAUAUUUUGUUGUGAAAUUAAGUUAGUCUUACAAUAAUUUAAAAUAUAUUUUUUAUAUUGAUUAUAAUUUAUCAAGUAUAAAAAAUGGCACAGAUAAUACUUUUUUAUACUGGUGAUAGUUAUAAUCAAUAUAAAAAGUGGAUAGGUGAUUUUUGUGAUAAAUAAAAACAUUUAUCAAUUCUAAUUUUAAUCGGCAUAGAAAAUGGAUGCAAUAAUAUAUUUGUAAUAAAUUAAAAAAAAUUCUAUAUCAAUUAUGUUUUUAUAAUAAAUAAAAAAAUUUUCAAUACCAAUUUUAAUUAUAACCAAUUUAGAAAAUAGUUUCUUAUAUUUUUUAUUUAUUUAUAAACAAAAACCUAUACUUAAACCUUUCAACUUUUGAAAUCCUUAAGCAGAACCACGCAUUUCAAUCGUGAAUCCUUUUUUUCCUAAUCAAGCCACCUUCGUGCAACCACGACACUAGGAGGUCGCCACUGUGAUGCUGACGUCAGCGACUACCUUUGCUAGUGUGAGUUCUUCUUCUCACGAUGAGGCUCGUCUACUUGUCAUUUCUCCUCUGCACUUACUACCAUGAGCAUGCAUGGGUCUCCUUUUCUUGCGCCUCAACACCCUCGUCAUUGAUAGGAAACAAUGUUCGAGCAAGGAGGCGCGUAAUCAUGAAUAGGGUAUAGGGUCCUUGGUACUUUUGGAUCUAUUUAGUUUAUUGAUUGUGUUGUUGGAGCUGCUUUGUGUGCUACUAAAAAUUGCUUACCUAGUUAGAUUUGUUGAGCUUGUUGUUGUUAAUACUUUGUUCACUAAAUUGGAAUAUUUGGCCUCAAGAGCAUUAAAUCUAGUGGAGAGAUCUUGGUUUUGUAUGUUACUAUUGUUCGAGGAUGUCUGGUCUUCAUUUCGUGGACUCGAAUUUGAACAGUGCAGUUUUUGUAAGAAAAUGGUUAACACUUGUGCAAAUGAAUGAAGACAACCAAUUUGGACCAACAAUGUUUUGUCGAAAUCAACAGUAUCUAACUAAGCUUAACGUCAUCUUUGUUAACCUCGAUAAAAUCUGACCGAGCUCAUCAAUUUAGUCCGAAAACCUUUUGUUAUUGUUUUAUUCAUUACUUGACAUUUUUAAUAUACCACUUACAAAAAGUUUAAGUUAUAAUGAGACGGAUUUAGUCAAAUAAGGUAAACUUUUGAAAUUUUGGAAGGAUUUGGACAAAUUUUUAUAUACCAAUUAUACCUUUAACGGAUAUAAAAAGUAAUAUAAAAUCAAUCUCUUUUGUUCGUGGAAGUUAAGUUGUUAAAGCUUGGAUUCUUAUUCUUUCUUUUGCUUGAUGUGUAUCGUUUUUUUUUUUUUUUUUUUGUGUUAUGUCGGUGUGGUUCAUAUCACAAUCCUUUUGUAAAUUAAAAGAUCGAACCUUGCUUUGAAAUAAAAAGAAUCGAACAAUCGAUAUGAGUCUUGGUGAACCUCAAAAAUUGUAUUGCAUGAUAAAAGUAUAUUCUUUCCUGCUCUAGAAAAUCCUAUCAUCCUUAUCUUUCCUUAUGAAUCCUAACCUAAUCAAAGUCAAGAAGCCUCUCGUUGAUUUUCCUUAAAAAGGUCAUUGAUUUCACUUAUUUGCUGAUAUAAAAAAUCCUUAGACUUAUAUGCAUUUAUGUUACAAUAGUCUUUCCUAACUUAAAUUGAGUGUGGGCGUUUCCAUGGACAACAUCUCCAUCAUCCAGCUUGAACUCUGAUGGACGCAAUCAUAGAAUUUUGGACACGCAAUCAGAAAAGGAACAAAUGUCAUAAAAAUGGUGGUCAUGAAUGGCAUCAAACUUUCGUAGCCAUAUAUACACUCUCUUUAUAAGGUGCAAAGUGAAAAGGUUUUUGGCAUGUACUCAAUUCUUUCAGUGUUUCUCUUUCUUUUACACAAGCGAUCAUAGUGGAGAAAUUAUAGUAAUUUAAAUAUAUCAAAAUGCAAGACCAUUAUACUUAUUGCAGUAUGAGUAAUUAUAUCAAAAUGCAAGACACAUUGAUCAUAUAUGCAUGCGCAACCACAUUAAUAUUAAACCAUUAUAAUAUCGCCAUGUGAAUUGAAGUUGAAGGUUCAAAUUAACAAUUAUACUGCUAUACUUGAGAACGGUGAAAAUGGAGUUGACAUGAACUCUCACAUCAGUAGAAAAGAAAUAGCUAACCUGGUAAUAUAGUUCACAAAUGGUAAAUGAUGUCCUUUUGCUGUUGGCUGUCACGCAAUAUAAUGAAGAUAUUCUUAGUGUUUUUUCAUGUACAAAGUGGGAGAAAAGAUUCUGCAUAACAAAAAACACUACACACAUUAUAUAUAGUUUAUUUCUAUCUCAGUAAGAAAAAGUAAACACACUUAUCAUCCUCUUGCACCAUAAAAUUUACAAUCAUUUUAUACAGGAAGAAGAAGAAUUACUAUCUAUAUCUAGACGAAAAGAAUAUCAGUUAGCUUUCCCGCUGGUAUAAAAAUCUUACACAUUAAUUAAUUGGGUAAUGAUAUUUUAACAACACUUUUUGACAACAUUUUUUACAACGAACAGGACACGCGUCAUCAAUUUAUUGAUCUAUUUGAAUUUAUUUUUAAAAAAUAUUUAAAACGGACCAAUCACAAACUGUUACGUAUGCUUUGGGAAAAAAUUGUUAAAAAAAUAUUAUUAAACGAAGUUUUUCCUAAUUAAUUAGAAGUUAAUUUAGAUAUUAAAAAAAUUAAUUAUCUUAUUAUAAACAAAAACAAUUAAUUUUCGUAUUUUGAAGGGUUAAUUUUUAUCUCACAACAUACCUCUGUCAAAAAACAAAAAGUAGAGGAUAUACCGUUUACGCCCAACAAAACAAUUCAAAUAUGUGUAAAUAUGUUAUGAAUGUUUGUAUUAAAGUUGUUUUAAUGUUUUCAUUUUUAAUUAAUUUGUCUACAAAAACUGCUUAUUUUUCUCUUUUCAUAUAUAAGUUUACUUGUAUUUUUAAUAUUUUCAAUUAUCUUGAAUUUAUUUCUAAUUUUUUAAUUUAGCCUCUAUUAUUAUAACAAUGUAAUUUUGGUUUAUCUAUUUAUUUGACAUUUAAUUUUAAUAUAAAAAUUAUAUGGCAUUCUAUUAUAAUAUUAUGUAGUAAAUUUAUAUUGGUGUGAUGAAAUUUUAGAUAAUUUCACGUUGUUGUUUUUAUUAAAUAUUAUUAAUGAAAACACAUGUGACUAUGCGUGUUUAUUUUUAUUUGAUAAUAAAAAUAAUGAAAUUAUUAUUAUAAAAAUAAAUAUAAAUAAUUUUUUAUUUAUUUUGUAGAUAUUUUUAUUUAUUGGGUAGAUAAUUUUAUUUAUUUAAUUUAAAAAAUUAUAUUUAAAAAAUAAGCUAAAUUUGAAUAAAAUAGUAACACGGAUAAAAAAAAUAGACACUAAGAAUAAAAAUUUCCUUUAUAUAUAAAUAUAGAAGUAAAAAUAAUAAAUAAUUAAUUAGUGCAACUCUAAACUCGACAUAUAGUUUGCUUCUGGUAUUGAUAUCUAGUCCCAGCUAAAAAUAUUAUAAACUUAAAAUAAGUCAACUUAAAAUAAGUCAACUUAAAAUGAGAAGAUUACAAUAAGUAAAAGUACAAUUAAGUAUUUUUUAUAAGCAUAGCUUAUCGUGGACACUCUACUUAAUAUUAUAGUAGUAAGAAAAAGACAAUUUAUAAACAAUGGUUUUAUGCAUGUUAAGAGUCAAAUUUAGUGCCUAAGAUAAUGUGAUAAACAAUGUUCACUUACAAAUGUCUAUUUUUUAGGAAUUGGUGGCCAUCAGGGGCUAGGGCGUCGUCUUUUUACUUAUAGCUAUCUUUUAUUGUAUUUUCGCUUAAUUCCAUAAUUUUUUACAAAAUAUUUACACCUUCAUAAUUUUUAUUUUUAAUUUUGUAAAUAUUAGUAUGUCGUAUAUAAAAUUAUACAUUUGUUUUCAAUUGGUUGUCGAAUUAUUAAAUGUUUAAGUUAUAAUAAGUCAUACAAGAUCAAGUUGGGUAGUCCAUUUUGAUAUAUUGUUUUUAUCUGAGAAGAUUGAUUUACCUUUUUGCGACCACAGUGUAAUAAGUAAACAACAUAGAUUGAAGUUGGCUAGAAUUACUAAAGCAAAUACAUAUUAGACUUGAUUCAUUAUAAUAUGAGAAAAUUAUUGAAAUUAUCCCUAGGAGUGACAAUAUUUUGUGUCAAUUAAUGAUUAUUUCAAGAGAUUGUGAUGUACCUUAUCAAGAGGAAGUCAAAUUUACUUGUAUUCAAGGAAUCAAAAACACGAGUAAAGCUUUAAACUAGAAAAAGAAUUUAAGUGCUUAGACUAUGCUAGCAAUGUGAAGAAGUAUCGCCUGUGGGGUCCCACUACCCGCAAGAUUAGUAUUAGUAGGGAUGCAAUUGAUGCUUCAACCAAAAGGCUUUAAAGAAUAAGAAAAGUUGGUUUUCACGUUGAACAAAUCUUUGUAUCGUUUAAAUUAGACGUCUAGGUGUUCGUACAAGAAAAUUUGAUUCCUUCACUAGCCUUGGUUACAACAAACAAAGUUUAGACCAUUGUGCUUAUUACAAUAGGUUUGGUGAAAAUGAUUUUAUCAUAUUCUUUUUAUAUGUGGGUGACAUAUUUGUGGUAAGUCUCAACAAAGUUUGAAUCAGAAAUUGAAGGCAUAGUUGGCUGAGAAGUUUGAUAAGAAAGACUCAGGACCAACAAAUAAGAUUUUAGGGAUGCAAAUUCAUCGAGAUACAAAAGAUAGGAAGAUUUGGCUUUCUCGGAAGAAAUACUUAUCGAAGAUCUUGUAGUGCUUUAACAUGCAAGAUUGCAAGCCAAUAUUUAUCCUAUUUUCUAUCAGUUGUAUAUUAUCCUUAAAUAUGAGUCCUAUCAGUAAAGCGAAGAGGAUGAAAAGAGUAUACUGUGCAUCGAGGGUGUGUAGCCUUAUGAAUAUUAUGAUGUUUACAAAACUAGAUAUUACACAAAUAGUGAAAGUGGUUAAUAGAUUUAUUGACAAUCAAGGUGGUUAGCAUUUGAAAAUAAACAACAUGGAUGACAAAGUACUAUGUGGAUACAUGGAUAUUUGAUUAGUUUAAUCAAAAUUGUGAAGGACAAAAGUUUCACAUUUGUGGAAACUUCUAUGGAGCCUUGAUGUGUUCUUAUAUAAAUAGACCAUGGUUCCUUAACAUCUCUUUCUCCUUUCCCUUGUAUGUUGGAGAGAAAAUUCCAAGAAAGAAUAUUAGUUUCAUUUAGAGAUUUUAAUAUUUGUUUUUUUAUUUCUUACAACAAAAGAGAAUAUUAUAUAAUUUUUACCAUUAGUAUAAAUUUUCAUUUGUGGAUAUUUUUCUCAUUUUUACUUGUGUGAACUUAUACAAUUUGUCUCCUACUUAAUAUUGAGUUGAUGUUUAACGAGUGAAAGAAUUAUAUAUUGAUCGACAAAAUAAUUUUUGGUAAAAAAAUGUUUAUAUUUUUCUUGAAACUUAAGAUUAUUUAAAGUCUUCUUUAGUUUUUAAAAUAUCAUAUAGUAAGAUAAAAAAAAAAGUGUGAUAAGAACUUGAUAAAAGAAUAAUAAGAUAAGAAUUAAUCAUCCUGAGAAUUUGAUAUAAAAUACAGGAAUUAUACUUAACAUAUGUUCGUAAAGGAGAGAUAAGAAAUGAUAUAUAAUAUUUGAGAAAUUAAAAAUAUACUUAAUUUUGAUUGUACUUAUAUUAUGUAUAUAUAUACACUUAUAUAUAUAUAUAUAUAUAUAUAUAUAUAUAUAUAUAUAUUCACCGUUGAAUCAGUUUUUUUACCUGCAUUGUAAAGAUAUGUAUAUUAGUUGAACUGUAGUUUGCAAACUAAAGUCUGCAUUUUAUGGGAGACAAAGUUUUAUCUUCCGAUAAUGUUUAGUAUUAAGUAGUAACGAGUAUUUUAAAAUUAAAAAAAAAUGACACUUCAUGAAAGGCCAAAUGAAUCAACUUUUAGAAACAUCUAAAAGAAACAAACAUGGUUAUAAUACUAAAUCAUCUUAAACCUUAAACAUUAUUCUUUGGUUGGAGAUCUCAUAUAAGUUAGAAUUAAGACUAAAUCAUGGUUAAUAAGUGAAAACAAAUGUCAUGAGGAUUAUACGACUGUAUCUUACAUUUAAACCUAUUAUGGGUGGGUUGUUACUUGUACAUGUAGCUGGUGUUACACUAUGCUGAAUACCUAUUUACAAUGUAAAUAGAUAAACACCUUCAAAUUUGAUGAGAUAUGUUAAUGGUAGAUAACAUUGUGGUAGAUAUAUGUUUCAAACUGAAGGAGGAAGGAGCUAGCUAGUGUUCAGAGUGACUGCUUCUGUGCCAAACUGGGAAGCUUCUUGGUAACAGCUAUAGCACAUAGUAGUAACUUGGCUCAAGCACUAGAACAUGAUUUCCUUCUAGGAACUACAUUUUCUUCUGUCCCUUUGGAAACAGAAUGCCUAACUCUAGCCUUUUCACUGCCUUCCACCCAUCUCUUGAGCCUUUCAAGCAACUUUGUCCUUUUUGAAGAACCACUGUCACUGUGAUCAUGGCCACCACGAUGUUCAUCAAAGGAAGGAUCGCUGUGUAGUUCGUGCUCUGAGUCAUAAUGGAUGACCACAUCAUUUCUUCCAAAUUCCAAUUCUGAAUGGAUUUUAUCUUGAUCCUGUUGUUGUUCAUGAGGCCUCUUUAGAUCAUGCCUUAAACAGGCAUUGGUCCACCGCAAGUAAAUCAGUUCUUUUGCUUCAUCUGCUCGUUCUUUCUUCAUCUGCUCUAGUUCAUCCACAACCUGUUUGUACUCUUCCCUACUUACAUCUCCACCUUCAAUCUGCAAAUGGAAAACCUUAUAUUGUAUCCUUAUAAACUCUCCCUUCAAAGAAACAAUUAACAACUAAAAUAGUUAUCUUUUUAGUAACACUACUAUUAUUUUGAUUAUUGAUCUGAGAAGCCUUCUAGGUUUGAACCAGUAAAUGAUGGGUUUUAUGCAUUGCUUACCCUUGAAGCAUGUGAUUUUUCUGCUGUGUCAAGCUUCUUCAGAAGUUCAUUCUUUUCAUUCUGCAAUUGAUCCAAAUCCCUCUUCAGCUCUUCCAUUUUAUCCUCUAAUUUACCUAUGACAUCAACUUUUGUUUCCAAGGCAUCACGGCUUCUCAAGAUUUCUUCUUCUUCCAUUUUUAUCUUCAAAGCCUGCUCCUUGGCCACGCGGGUUUGUGCCUUUGAUUUCCUCGUUAGCUUCUGAAAUUUCCUCCGAAGCAUUCUAUUCUCAGAUUUCAAACGCUCAAUCUGUUCUACAACUCUGAGAUAUUGAGCAGCAAAACUCUCCAACCUCCUAUUCUGUGUCUCCACCGAUGAAAUCUCCCUAUCCAAGAAGUCAACUCGAGCAGUCUCAAGUGACAACAUGUUUUUGAUCUCCCCAACCACCAUUUCUUGCUCUUUCAACCCACAAUAACGAUCAAACUGCAAACGCAAGGCCAACUCUUUCAUUUGCAUACCCUCAAUCCUGCUUCUUAAGCCAUUAAUCUCCUCUUCUAAACAUGGGAUGUCAGGGAUCAGAAAACUUUCAGCAACAACACUUUCAUCCAAAGUUGUACUAUUUCCUUCAUCUUCCAUACAAGAGAGGCUAUGGCUAUGACAACUUUCUUCAUAUGAAGGGUCGUGAUGGGAAUCGCUUUCAUGGGAACUUGCUCCAUUUGGUGAUAAAGAAGAGGUUUUAGAGAGGCUUUUCUUUGCCACGAACCAAGCAUAGACAAAACCAGCAAAAGACACAGCCAAAGGAACACCUGCUUUGAGGAUCACUGGCUUCAGGACCUCAUGCUUUGAUGUUGAGUUUUCCAUUCUGAAGAACAGAGACAAGUAUAAUUUCAGAGAUUUGGUUAGACUUUUAUUUUGAUCAAAAACACAAUGGAAGACACUAAAUAUAUUGAUUUGAUUCUUGUUGUGCGUCGCGUUAGCAAAGAUUUGAAAGAUGGUUUCCUUUUAGAGGAAGAAGCACAAUGAUAUAGCUUUUUGACUUCCCCUGGAGGCCUUCUACGCCACCAAAUGCUGUCAACUACCUUCUUCUUCCUCUUUGGAAUCUAAUUCUUUUCUGAAUUAACAAAAAUUUUGGCUUCUUUCCUUCUACGGUAAACCAUGCUGUGAGGGUAUAGUUUUCACAUUUCUAAAGCUUGAGCAUUUACAGGGAAAAUGAACUCCAUUUCGCUGUGAAAAAUUAUUCCUUGAAUGGUGUGAUUUCACAUAAUCAGGUUGGAAUCAAGACUUUGUAUAAAUUAUUUGGAUUUCAUUAUUAGAUCAAAUGUAGUAAGUAUGAUGAUUUUGUGUCUCGGGAUUAGGGUUUAUGGGUGAUGAUACUAAUUAAGUGACUAUAAAACUUAAAUAUAUUUGUAAGUUUCUCGAUUUAAUAUAAUUAAUUUUUAGUCUUUUAAAAAGUUUAGGAAAAUUAAUUUUUUUCAUUCAUCCUUCUUUUACAUCAUCUUACUUUUUUGAGGCAGGGAGAGUAAGGAAAGGAAUAAUCCUACUUUUACUUUUUGUUGUAUUUUUAUCUAUGUAUAUUUUUUUUUUUAUAUACUAACUAUUGAUUUUAUUUUAUUCUUGUGUUAGUGCGUUCUCCAUUGCCAAGUUUGAUAUUAUUCUUUCUACUUUAAUUUUGGAAAAUGUUCCAGAAUAAAAGAGAUCAUGCCAAAAAAAACUAUAGAAUACAAACUCGUGAAUCUUUUAACUUAAACUUUAUGAAAAAAUUAUAGUUGACCAUGUACUUCACUAAAUGAUCUGAGAUCAAUUUUAUCAUAAAAUAGACUUAAAAAAAUUAGUUUAGGCUUCUGAAUAUCCAAAAAAUUGUUUUCAAAUGAAAUAUAUAUAUAUAGUUAACUUUGUUUCGUUUAAAUACCUAGUUUUCGUAUUUUCUUCAUUUCAAUAAACUUGAAACCGUAUUUAUUAAAACAGAGACUAAGAAAAAUCUUUAACUUUGACUUUUUUUUAUUCGCUUAUAAAGCUUUUAAAAAAAUUAGUUAUGUUUUUAAUGUCGAUGCUUCAAAAUCUGAAAAGUUUAGGAAACCUUUUUUUUUUUUUUUAAUUUUCUAUUCUUUUGAUAAAUAGUUUUAAAAAACUUGGUUAAAUAUUAUGAAGUUACUGAGAUUCUCAAUCAUUUAUAACUUUUUUUUAUAGAACUUAAUGUUCUUAAUAAAAAAAGGUUAGAGUCAAAAUUUUGAAAGAAAGAAAGUGACGUGUUGAUAAAAAAAUGUUAAAUAUUUCUAAUUUAUACUUUAAAUAUAAAAAGUUUCAUCGUAUCUAUAUUUAUUUUUAAUUUUAUUCUUUAAGUCAAUAUUUGUUAAAUUAAAAUAAUUAUUUUAUCAAUUUUGUUUUUUAUGUGAUUUUUUUUAAAUUUAAUCUUUUUUAAUUUGAAUAUUUUUUAAGCUUAACCAUUCUUUUAUUUAUAAAACUUCAUAUAAAAUAAACAAAUACAAUUUACAAUAAAAUUACAAAAAUUAUUUUAAUUUUAUAAUUAUGAUAAUAAUAAUUUUAUUUUCUUUUCUUAAGCUGACUUGAUUUUGAAAAUCUACACUCAGAUACAUUCUUUUUUUGUUUUUGCUAAUAUUUAAUGUUUGACAGUUAAUUUAUUGUGGUGUUCAAUAAUCCUAAACAAAGCCCCACUUUUAGAGGACAGAAUUAAAUCUUUAGAAUUAGUGAAUCACAGGAUGAAAGUACUCAGUGAGUAAAAAAAUUCUUAAUCCCGUAAAAUUAGAAGCUUCGUAGUUUAGGAUAAACCCACUUUAAAGAACCAUAUUUCAUCCUUAUAUAAAGAAGAAAGAAACAAAUCUUUUUUAAGCUUUAAAGAGUUCGUCUGUUUUUCUAAACAAAAAAUGUUAUUUUGUUAAUGUGUAUUUUAUUGGUUAUUUUAUUUUACAUCAGUAUCAGUUACUUAAUACAUCUUGAGUGCUAAGCUAUUAAUUAUGUGACUUAUAAGAACACGACUCUCCUCUCCUUGUUACAGAUUAAAUUGAUUUUAUAUAUAUACUAUUUUAGUAAUAAAAAACUUAUAACUAUAUAUACUUCAAUUGCAUGAUUAUGAUUAUUCUCACUUAAACAUUUGAUUCAAAUAAAUCUAAUAACAGGGUUUCCAACAUGAGCGUACAAGAAACUCCUUGCACGGGGAUAAUGGAAGAUUGGAGUAACAUCUGCACCAACUGGCUGUGUUGCCCGCAGUCAUUAUUAAGUCUCUGGAAGCAACCAAUCUCUUUCCACACCAAAUCAGAUGCCUUUUCCUUUAGCAUAAACUGAAACAGCAUCUUUGGUAAUUUAUAUAUGCUAACCUCUUUGGGAUGUGAUCACCAGUUCACCAACAAUGGCAUGUGCCAGAAAAAGGACACAAAAAGUCGUAUGAACAAAUAUUCAAUUGAGGGCUCUCAAAUUCCUUGAAUAUGAAUUAAACUGCAGAAGAAUGCAUGGGAUUAACAAGACCGUCUAAGGUAGUUGAGUAUCAAUAAAUUAAAUCUCCCCGAUGUGUAUGUAUGAUUCUCAGUCACACUCAAACUAGAAAUCCGAAAUCCAAUGACGUUAUUUUAGAAAACAAUCAUCUCUCAUUUGGCUUAUUUCUAAAGUGGCCUUUAAAUUGAAUGUUAGUUCCUUCAGAAAAAUGUUUGACACCAAUAUUACCUGCCCACUUCCAUUGACUUUUUCAUUGAGUGAAAUAAAGACAUAAGAACAUUGUUUAUCCUUAAUACAAAAAAUGGCACAACCAAAAAUACUAGCAAAUAAAGGACUGGUAAACAGAAACACAGAAACAUGCCCUGAUCUUGCCACACUUAUCAAAGUAGGUGCAACAGAAAUUGGUACGAUUUCAUUAUAUACAACAUAAAAAUACUGACCACCUGAAGCAGAUCAAGAAAGUUCAAAUCCGGCAUUUGAACUUAUAGCAUAUAGAAGCUUUGCUCUCAAGGUGCCUGGCCGUUUGUAUGUCGGAAGCUGUAAUCAUUGAGAAAUAGAAAAUAAAAGCAUAAAUAAUUCAGAAGUAUGACAAAUUGACGAGAGAUUGCCUGAAAAUGCCAACAAUUUUGUCUUAAGUGACUCCACACUAAAUGGGCAUGGUUAGUUAGUGGACAUACAAAUUUCCGCACUUAUUGCUAAGAAACCUAUUUAUACGAUAUUUUGAAAUAUGAGAUUAUGAAAAACUCAAGAUUGUGAUGCGUACUCAUAAACAACAUAAAGAUCUUGACUUUCAAGCAUGCCAAACCCCAAAUAUUAUUCAUAAAACCUACAGACCCCUGUGCUGGAAGCUCCUCACUUCACAAAUGCACCGAGGGAGGGUAAUUAUAUGUAGCCUUCCCUCAUUGCACAAAGCAUAGAAGCGAUUUAAAAACUAACCAAGGCAAAACUUUACUGUUGUGUCAAGGAUUUCCCUCAAUAUUUCAUAGAUUUAACAUAAUAAUAGAAAAAAAAAAAUAAUAAUAAAAAAAAAAAAAACUUGGGAAUUUAGAAAUCUAUCAUGCUAAACUACUCCUCCUAAGCACAAAGUUAGGAAUGUGUUUCUCUGUUACUAUAUUAUAUUAGUAGUACCUUAAGUGUAUUGUAGCAGGUUGAAGCUGAUGGAAGCCGAUCUACAUCCUGUCCUCCAAUUGUUGCCCAAAGAGGAACAUCACAAACAACCUGUGUAAACAAAUAGACAUGAGUGCUAAUCAAUGAAAUCAAGACGUUUUAUCAUUAAAAAAAUGCAUCAUUUUUAUGGUUUCAUCUAAUAACUGGAUCUUGAUGUUGCAUAGGAGGGAAAAAGAAUAACAGAAAUCCUAGAAAAAAAAGGCAGGUGACAAGAUGAAGGCUUGAGUAUCUCAUAGCAAGCACUUAAAGCACUGAAUAUCUAAUGGAAAGCUUCUUCAUUUGUAGCAUCGAGAGCAACAAAUUAUUAUAGAUAACUGAUUAGAAGAGUUCAAGACGUUUUGCUUCCUAACUCAAUUGUUGUGCUUAAUAUACUCUGCGUGAGCAACAGAAAAACUUCAAAUAUAUCUUAAUCAUUAAAGAAUAGAACUUAAUAUACUCUGCGUGAGCAACAGAAAAACUUCAAAUAUAUCUUAAUCAUUAAAGAACAGAACAGAAUGGGAACAGAGAAGACUUAGUAUAAAUGGUUUUGAAUGUCCAUCAAACAUAAAAGAUUAAGAACAUACCUUGUGGAUGGUUAGUGGUGGCUGCAAGUAUUUGAACCCGAGUAAUGGAGCACGAGAACAACUGGUGACAAAUUUAAGAAGCAGACAACGCUCUUGAGGUUCAAAUCCUUUAAUCACCUGUACACAAUAGGCAGAAAACAGAAAAUGAAUAAAGAUAACUUAAAAUUAGCAUCUACACAAAUAAUAUGAAUUAACUCUUAAAUAUAAUUCAUGAAGGUGAGAAAAAUGCUCAAAAAUCACGUGUCGAGAAAGAGAGGACCUAUAGUUCAACCAAAAAAAUGAAACCUAAUAGCCCUUUCUAGGAGAGGAACAGAGGAGUGAAAGACCCCAGAUUUUUUAACUUCGUAUUUUAGGAUUUACUUCAUCUAUAACCUACCGAUCUUAAACAACAGAAAAUAUGAAGAAAUAAUUUUGACUCUUAUCAAAACAUCUAUAUAGUAACACAGCCAUUGUAUCAUUGUAUGUAUCUGACCUGUUUGCAUUCUAGAAGAAAUAUUUGAUUGUUUGUUUUGAAAUGAAAAAUGAAAUUAUCUUUUCCUGUAAGUUUUUAGUAGUUCUACCCUCUUCUCGAAGUAAAAACUAAUGCCCUAAAGUCCCAUAACUAUUUUUGACAGAGCCAUCCGUGGAAUGGAAUUACUACCAUGUCAAGUCCAAUUUACCCCAUUUUAUUGAAAAUAAUAUAAUAAAGGACGCAACUUUUUACAACAAAUCAUUAAUUCUUACAAGCAAAAUCAGCAGAAAAAGUCUGCAAAAUUUUCCACGUAUUACUUAUAUAUGAUCACCAUGCAUAAAAUUGGGGUUGAUACUAGUAAAUAAAGCAGAACAGAAGCAAUAUCAUCAGCUUAAAUAAUUUGCUUUGCAUGGAUAGUUUUAAUACAAAAACAACUGGACGAAUAUUCAUGAGAACUGUACAUAUUUGGGUUAGGAUCCAAGUACACAAGGUGUAAUACUUAGUCAAAUUACACUUUUAAUAACUUUCUACACAAUGCAAAUUUAAUCAAUCCAACCAUUCACUUUUAUUAUAUUAUCUCAAUGAUCACAUCUAUAAAAAAAUUUUAAAAAAAACGCACUUAUUGAGAUGACAAUACCUCCCAAAAUAUCUUGAUUGUCCGGCUUCCCUCAUUGUAACCACCAGUAUAUCGAGUGUUAUUUUUCAGAUCAUCAACAUCAAUAUCAUAAUUGCCACCUGAAAGCAACUGCAUUCCUAUAUAGCUAAGAAAUCUUGCUGGUAAAAUUAACUGACUAAAAUGUAUUUUUACUAUUAAAUGUUUUUCACAUUGGGUGUAGUUGGUGAAUAAAUGACUCUAGAUUUGGGGACUCUAAUAGAGUAUCUUUCUCUUAUUAUAUUCAUUUGAACAAAUUAAAUAGCUACUUCAAUACUGAUACAGCGGACAAUAACACUAAAUGCAGAAUUCUGUCACAAAAAUGUCCUGGUGCCCUUUGUACGAGAAAGAAGCAGAAAGAGUAAAUUUGCAAAAGAAAACCAUUUCAACACACUAAGAAAGAGAAGAUACCUGAUUAAAUUCACUAGCAUUGAAUAACUUCAACCAGGAUGGACAUAUAAGAUCAGUUAACCCUCUAUAAAACGCAUUUGAAAAGGGCAACAUCUGUAAUUUCAACAUGGUCAAAUAUAUAUCCACGAUACAACAGAGAAUACAGAAGUGAUAACCUGCAUUAUACUACAGUAAACAAUGGUAAAACCUGUUGGUUGAGUUUGUAGUCUGCCAUUGCAUGCAUGUACUGCAUCUUGUUCUCAUUCGUUACAGAAAUAUCUUUGCCACCAGACUUAAGUUCAACCACAUACCUUUUACCCAAUGAUUCUUCAGUAACUGUGAAAUCAAGACAGAGCUCCGUGAUAUCACCGUCAUAAUUCUGCAUGAAUGAGUAUGUGAACCUUCCAGUAGAAUGGCAAAAUGCCAGAACACAAAUACACAGUAUCCACCAAAGUCAAACAAACUCAAGCUAAAUUUUAAAAACAAUCAUACAAUAAAAUGCAGUAUGAAGAACAUUAAUGAAGUUUUAAGGACGUCAUGAAUAAUAGUGUUAUUGUAGAGUUAUAUAACAUCCAUUACUACACCUAACCAGAAAAAGACAUGGACUCUUUGAACAAUAUUCGUAUACAAUAUUAGUUAUGCUUUUCGUAGGAUUGCAAAUGGACCUGGCUUGUCUACAGAAGAAGAAAAACUGUAGGGGUCAAGCCAUCAGCAAACUAAGUCAAAAUUCAGAAAACACGGAUCCUAAUAUAAACCAAUGAAUCGUUUUGAAUGUCCUGAAUCCUGAUUAGUUUUGAAAAAAUGUUUAUAUGAAUGGUAUGCAAAACAUCAUGGAUUUUUCUCAUGGUUUACCUUGACAUACAUAAGAUUCCUGUAUAGCUCUGGAUCAAGUGUUGAUAAUUCAUCAAGAAAACUAUAUCGUCCCAAAAGCUUUUGUACAAAAACAUGGGAGAAAGAGUAAUCAAGUAAUAUUCCUUCAUAUAGAGCUUUCCCGACUACUCGUCCAAGGAAUUCAAUCAUCUGAAGACCAUUCUCCAAAUAUCUGGCAGAAGCAGUUGGAAUUAGAAGCCUGUCUGAAGUUGAGGUUUGGGAAAAUAGUCCAUAUCUAAGACAAAAAGGACUAGGUGUCAGUUUACAAAGUCAAUUCUUAAAGAUGCAAUAACCAAGAAAUAGAAUCGAGAAAGUUUGAAAUAUUUUGUCAAACUUACUCAGGAGCAAAUGCUGCUUUUGAUAAGUCAGUCAGAAACUCUUUAGAUAACCCACCAUAGUCCAGGCCAGCCUCAAGAAGACCACAUUCACUAACAAAUGAUACAUGGAUGGAUGACUUCAACCUUGACCCAAGGGAAUUUAAUUGCCGAAAUCCAUCUUCAACAAUAUGACCCCGACGUACUACUAUCUCAAUGGCUCGUGAACCAGGUUCAGAAAUUUCACCGGCCAUUUUUCGAGCUGCUUUAUCCAUCUUGAUGAAUUCACGAAACAUCUCAACUCUAUAGCAGUGUUUAAACAGAUGAUUGAGUUCCUUCUAUAAUCGAUAGUAGACCAUAUAAUGUCUUAAGCUCAAUAAAUGUCAUGAUUUUGAUGACAAGUUGCAAUUAAAUAUUCCAUCUGAACUCAAUUACUCUACUUUUCUUUAAAAAAAAUCCAACUCCAUCAUAUUGAUCAAUACUGUCAUUAACAAUAGUGUAUUCCUACUUAUUUUCUUUACUUAUGUCUUUCUAAUGUUUAUCAUAUAGUGUAUAAUUCAUACAUAAAUACAACCACUCAUGUAAUACAAUGUUCAUUACUUCAUAGUAUAAAUGGGUAUUAUUUCAAAAUGAUUUUCAUGAACAUAUCAAAUUUAAGAUAGUUUGAAAGAGAAAGUGAUAAUAUCAGUAAUCUUCUACAGUGUACUCUGUUUAAAGAUAUUUCAUUUGACCAGCCAACACUAGAAGGAACAAAAAAUAAUAUAUGAAUGUACCUUGAAAUCUUAAUUUAGUCUAUACAAGCUCAGUGACUCGACAACCAAAUUAAGAUCAUCUUUUUAUAUAACUUAUAAUUUCUGCUCAUGUGAUAAAAUUUAAUAAAUCGAUUCAUUUUGGCUACGACACAGAUCAUCUAGCUCUUCACUUAUAACUUAUCCUUCAAAGGAAUCAAUACAAUGCAACAACUAAAAUGUCAUAAGACAUAAAGAACAGAACAGCAUAAUUAGAUAAAAUGUUUAUCAGUCUUCUUAAUGGUCAUGGAAUUAGUUACCUCUCCUCAAAAGGGAAAACGUGAGGAACAAUAGUGACAGCAGAACCAACACUCAGUGAAGCUGAUGAAUCAUCAUGUAUCAGGUUGGCUGCUAAAACUUCAUGAGUUCUGGCAGCAACAGCAAUUGGUGGCCGGCUUUUUCUAGCAGGAGAAAGCCACAAAUCAGGAGGACAAAAUGGGUGCCUGCAAUCCCUUUCAUACAGUAAAUGUAAGCAUCUGAUAGCACAAUCCAUUAGGGACUUGUUAUGAUGACCACCAACAUGGGACAAGCCAUUAUAAACCAAUGUAUUGAGCAUAGAUGCAAUUUUUCUUUGCUGCUCUAUUUGGAAUGGAACCUAGAAACAUUAUAUUGCAAAAAGUUAGUUUGAAAAUGUGAAUUAAUUGAUAGAAGAAGAACAGGGAUAAGGAGCAACAGAUCAGUUACCUGUUUCUCAUAGAACUCUAUGUCAUCAAGAACUAAAAGCAGGUGAGAAUAGGUCGCACAGAAAAGAUGAAGCAUAGCAAACAUAUCCUUUGGAAUGCCUUGCGGCCCAUUCCUCAUAGGUUCUAUGUCCCAUAUAUCUGAUGAAUCGUCAUUUGGUCUGCUAGGCUCAGUGUGACUGCUAUUAAAGUCAGUGCAAUCUGUUGCUGCUCGUGACCUACCUGCAAAUUUAUGAAGUACAUUGACCCACUUAUUAGGCCCAUCUUUACUGACUUGUUUUUGCAUCUUCUCAAAGGCUUUAUGUUUGCUUUUUUCACUUAUGUAAUUAUCAAAAUUAUGUUUGUCUCCUGAAAAAAAGGAACCCUCCAGUACACUCCACAAUCUCACAAGAAAUCCAGGAGUGAAUGAUAGCGUGUUGAGAACUGAUAAUGAGCCACGAAUUGGACUCAAGACUGAAAAUAUCCUAAGUACAUUAGAAUAAAAAAGUGCAACAUCACACAAUUCUAGAUUUCCCAGACAUUCUAGGCUACUUGAUGGCACAGUCUCAGCCUUGUUUAUGGAAUCUCUAUUAAUUGAUGCCAAAAGAAUUUUGAGAUGCCACUGCUGACAAACAGGCCUAAAUUGAUCCAUGUAUGACAAUAUUAAGGAUUCAUUGGUCGCUUCACCCUCGUGCUGAACUGCAUCAACUGGGUGUAUUGAACUUUCAUCAGUUUGAAGGGCUUUCUUUUUCUUUCUGACCCAUCCAAUAUUAUCAAGACAAGACAGCAGAGCCUCUGAUAGAGUAAUAACAACAUGGACAUACAAUCCAUGGUCUAAACCUUCAUUGAAGGAUUCAUUCUCAUUCAUUGUUGCUAAGCAGAUAAUGUUAGCAAGGGCCCAACCAACUGGUGGAAUAGCCUUGAAAGAGACAGCAAUCUCUGAUUUCACGAACUCUGACAUCUCCAUCAAAACUUUCUCUUUCAAAAUCUGUCAUUGCCUGUCAGAGUUUGAUCAGUUCUGAUAUGUUUAAAUUCUAAAUUAUGAAGUCAUAUGAUCUUAUUGACUUGAGUUAAAAGCCAAUGGAAGGCAUAUUCAAGAGAAAAGUUCAAAAUCUAAUAAUUCAAUUAAGGCUCACUAUUUUUAAUUCCAUCUGUCACGACUAAAUAUAUAUCAUGGAGGUUUUUCUCUUCACCAUCAAUAACAUAAAAUAUGUAUUUACGCAAAAACAAGUUAUUAGAUAACUAAGGGUGAAAAAUUCAUCUUUCAAUGAUUAUUUUUUCACUUCCAUAGAAAAAUAUGCAGUGUUUUCAGUUAGAAAUAUUGUAUCUAUAUAUUACAGGAUAUAAAUAGUGAAAAAUGAUUAGAAGGAAUAUUUAAAAAUAAGAGCAGAACAAUUAUUUGCAUCAUCAUAAUUGCAAUACUAAAUGAUGAUACUAAUACAAAAAUUAGCUUUAAAGCAACGUUCAUCUUUGAUUUUGCAAGCAUACAACUACAACAUCAAACAAUAUGUAUGCAUAAAGAAGUCCAAUGUGCCCGCCCAAUCAUUAACUCAGUGUUUGAAAGUUGGCACUAAUUUAAUUAAAUUAUAAAUAUCAUUAAAUUUACAUGAUCUGUCACUGUCUUGAAAAAGAAGAAGAAAGUAAAUAUUCAAAGAGAAUAAAGAACAAUUAAAGAGGCCAAGUUGCCAUUGAAAUAAAACAGCAGACUAAUAAUUUAGCAGGUGAAAAUAUUCUACUUUAAUAAUGAUGCUUACCAAUAGAGUCUGGAAGCAUGGAAACAAAAUAGAUUUGUGCUUUAAAGCUGGUAGAAGAAUAAGGGGGAGAUGUUGCACUAGCCAAGGUAUGGUCAGCAGAUAAAGAAUAUACUGCUCAGCAGCAUGGUUGAAAUCCAGCGUAUGAGGCACUUCUGCAUCAUAGUUUAUCAGAUAAAACGGCCGUACAGCUAAAGUUAUUACACUUGCAGUAAUGAAAAAAUUUCCAUCUGCCGGGGUGAUGAUCUUUGACUGGGAAGAAGGAUUUUCUAAUGCACUAAUAUAUCUGCCAAUAGACACAUAACAACCACUUUUAUCACUGCCCAUGAACUGAAUUAAAUCUUUCACUGCUAAAUCUGCAUCAAAGUGGUUGUCAUUUGUUAUUCCUUUCCAUCCUUUCAUAUCAGUUAACAUUACAAGAAUACGCAUGGCGAGAGAUGUAACAACAGUAAUAUCUUGGGCCCCGGAAGGGUGUUUACUGAACUCUGAAAGAAUAACAAAACUAAGAAAAGUCAGCUUGCGUGCCUGGUAUCUCCAUAUUCUUCUUUCUUCAGUUGUACCAAUUGCCAAAAAGCAAAAGUUCAGCUUUGAAUCUAACCAAAGAAAAAAAUAGACCCCUUAGUAAUGUAUUAAUUAUAUUAAACAAAAGGAAAAAUGAGAAGCAAGGACGGUGGGGGGACAGCCCUUUUGAAGUCUCAAAACUAAGAAAAACAGCACAACAAAAAGUAUCUUUGCAUUCAUUAUUUCAUAUAAUCUCGUCAUGUAACUAAAAUAAACUGACUUGUAUAAUCGAAAAGUCAACUUCAAAUCCAAUAAAAUAACAUCCAAAUAAGAGGAUAUACCAGAAGAUUUCAGGCUUUCCAAUAUGACGGUAAAGCACAGUUUGAUAGAAUCUAUUCUCUUGCAGUUGACCUUCUGACGUUGAGUGGAGAUAAGGGUAAUAAAGAACAGAAAUGGUCUCAACAAAUUGUUUGAAAUCCAAUCUGCUGUCAUUACACCAGUAUAAUGAUUCACUGCUAUCUCCCACUCUUGCUGAAGUUGCAGAGAAAUUGCCUUUGUGACCUUGAAGCGCCUCCACACUCUCUGUUAACAUUAAAAAUAGCCCUUAUUUCUCCACUUUGAUCCAACAGAAGGUACAAAUGAAAACUAUAAUGUACUAACAAAUUGCAGUUCCAACUUUCUAAUUUGUGUUUACAGCAAAGUAGGCCUCAAGUGUACAAACUUUUGCCUUCAAUGACUCUAAGUUCAUCGACUUCAUGUUUGGAACAAAAGUAAUACCAAGCAUAGUCUAAAAAAGUAUCAAGAAAUAUCCUAAGAAAAUUUGGAGAUUAAAUAUUGCAUUUCACUUUGUAACCCAUUGCUUCCAUAAGCAGUCAAGAAAUGACACUGAAUGAACAACAGCUCAAAAACAAAAAAAUUGACAGUCACAACACUGACUCCAUUCUGAUGUCUAGGUAAAGUAAGAUGUACGCAAGUUCUGAGCAUAUAGGGUGUUUCCACAACCAGAACUCAUGGCCAAGAGAUCACAUCAAGCUACAAUUUUUCAACUGGACCGAGGUUCAUUAAGAAACAUGGAAACUUCUAAAUGUUAGUCAUGUUGUAAUAGAGUAUAUCACUCAGAUUAUAUCAUUCCUCCCCCUAUACUCGCCUAAUAGUUUUCUGUUGUGAAAGACAGUUGUCACAUACAGUUGCUAUACGAUUGAUUACUUUUACUCCUUUACCAGAUUUCUAACUUACAGUUGAGGCUCGCUCAUCUACAAAUAUGAGAAACUACAGCUAUGUCAAAAAGAGAAGAAUAAUAGGUUUACAGAUUCAUUUUUUUUUCUAAACCUUGGAGUUUUCUUUUCUCUCUCAAUUUUCUCUUCUCGUGUAAUCAUAACGUGUCAAACCCAUAUUAGUGUUUAGGCAUUGCAUUAACACUUUGAUUACUUCUAGUUUUUUUUUUUUUCUAUAAUUUCACAUCGCUAUAAAAUUCAGCACAAUAGAUGGAUUUUAGCAUUUUAUCAUGUCUACAAUGACCCAUACUAAUUUAAAACACGAAUUCUCUCCCUUUGCAUAAUAUUUUUAUUCAUACUAAUUUUACAUGACUUUUGUAUAAGUCAUAUGUAUCCUCUGCAUAAGACAAUCUUGUUUGAAUGAGAGAAAGACCAUUUCAUGCAGUAAAGUUCUCCCUCCGAAUAUUUAAUAUCACUAGUUACCUAGGUUUCGAAUUUGAAAUCACUGAUGAAGGUAAAUUGUCCUUGAGCUCAGUGAUAAAUUAAGUUUACGCAUGCUAUGAGCUUGUAGUGCCACAUAAUGUUUAGAAUUUACCGUAUUCCAGCGCCCAAGUGGCGUGUUAACUUUUAAAAUGAAAGAAAUUGAAAGAACCUGAAUGAAGAGAGCAGCAGCAGCAGCUCGUUUUGCAUAAUUGCGAAGUUCUCUUUCCUGAGUGACCUUCUGAAGAAGAGCGUCUCGCGUUAUCUCCUUCGCACUUGCUCCUCUCAGCGACACCUUAACAACAAGCUCCAUAAUCAGAAAAUGAUCAAAAUUUAAUUACUUGAGUAAUUGAUCGCGGAGGCAAAUCGAGCGCAGUAUUCAUGCCAAAUUCAGGAACGAGAUUGAUUGAUUGCAGGUAAGAAGAGCGAGUGAGUACCUACCUGCUGCUUACGAGGUGCGUCCAUGGAAAUCACUUGCGGAGUUAGCAACGAUUCUCAAUUCCGUUUCCCUUCUCCAUCGCCCUCUUUUUCGUUGCUUUAUUUUUAAGUUAAUUUCGCUGUCAAAAAAACAAUACCAAACACGGAGAAGUAUGUUUUAAGUUUUAUCGUCCCACAAGUUGACCGCUGAUUUUCUUUUAUUUUGUGAUUUGUGAAAACUGAUUACCGUCCCUUAUAUUUAUUGAAAAAUAAUUAAUUUUAUAUUUUAUAUAAAAAAAUGCAAGCAUAAUAAUUGAGUAUGUGUAUUAUUAUUAUUAUUAUUAUUAUUAUAUAUAAUUACUAUAAAGAUGAGGUAAAAAUAAGGUAGAUCUUAGAAGUGCUUUACCAUAACAAUAACAAUUACAUAAAAUGAUAUUAUUUAAAAUUAGAAAAUAUAAAAAAUGUAAAAUAAAACUACGUGAUAAAUGAGAAAGUUGGUUCUGUAGAAGGAGCGAUGCAGUUUGCUUAGUGGGGAGAGAAAUUGUAAAUAUAUGAUAGGGUGUGUGUUUACGCGCCAAGGAUGGAGAGUGGAAAUUGCAGUUGCAACAUAGGAUAUGGUAUUGCUACCGGUGUAGAUAGGUGGCACCCGAGCCUCCAUUGCAAACCCUUCAACUCUUCCCUUUUCUUCAAACCACCACCCUCCAAACCUCUUUCCCUUUCUUUCCGCCGCAACCUCCGCCAUGCCACACACUACCUACCCCCGGAUUCCCACUCCCUCAUCCACGCACUCCACGUCUCCUCCCGCGCCGCCGACACCCAACUCGUCAAGACCGUCCACGCCGCGCUCCUUAAACUCCACGAACACGACACUCGCCUCUUUAACGCCCUCAUAUCCGCUUACCUCAAACUCCGCCUCUUCCCCCACGCCCUCCGCCUCUUCCUCUCUCUGCCUUCCCCCAACGCCGUCUCGUAUACAGCCCUCAUCUCCGCCCUAUCGAAAUGGCCCAACCGCGAGCAUCACGCGCUCAAGCUCUUCCUCCGCAUGACGCACUCCCACCUCAUCCCCAACGCGUACACAUACGUCGCGGUUUUAACUGCCUGCACAAGAAUUCUUCAUUUCCAGUUGGGCCUCCAGGUCCACGCUGCCGCUCUCAAAACGGCCCAUUUCGAUUCCACCUUCGUCGCAAACGCCCUCGUUUCUCUUUACGCCAAGCACGCCCCUUUCCGGGAUGCGCUUAAACUCUUUAACCAAACACGGUACAGGGACAUUGCGUCGUGGAACACUAUUAUCUCUGCUGCGGUGCAGGAAUCCAUGUACGACACUGCGUUUCGGUUAUUCCGCGACAUGCAGACGACGGAUGCUUUUCGAGUUGAUGAUUUCACCUUGUCGAUACUUUUGUCUGCGUGUGCGUCGUUGGUGGAAGGUCAGCAAGUUCACGCGCACGCUGUUAAAUUGGGUUUGGAAACUAGUUUGAACGUUGGAAAUGGACUCACUGGGUUUUACACUAAGUUUGGAACGCUUGAGGAUGUGGAGUGGUUGUUUGAGGAGAUGAAAGUGAGGGAUGUUAUAACUUGGACUCAGAUGGUGACCAUGUAUAUGGAGUUUGGGUUGGUGGAUUUGGCUCUGAAUGUGUUUGAUGAAAUGUCCGAGAAGAAUUCUGUGUCUUACAACGCUGUUUUGUCUGGGUUUUGUCAAAACGAGGAAGGCUUGGAGGCGCUGAAGUUGUUUGUCAAAAUGGUGGAGGAGGGUUUGGAGUUGACGGAUUUUAGUUUGACUAGCGGAGUAAAUGCUUGUGGAUUGAUUGGUGAUCCCGAGGUCAGCAAGCAGGUUCAUGGGUUUGCGGUGAAGUUUGGGUUUGGAUCAAAUGCUUGUAUAGAAGCGGCAUUGCUUGACAUGUACACGAGGUGUGGGAGGAUGGUGGAUGCGGAGAAGAUGUUUCUGAGAUGGAAGGUGGAGCAGUUUAGCUCUGUGUGCUGGACAGCCAUGAUAUGUGGCUAUGCUCGAAACGGGCAGCCAGAGGAGGCCAUUUCUCUUUUCCACGUUGGUCGAUUCAAUGAAAAGGUGAUUAUGGAUGAAGUUGUGGUGACUUCGAUGCUUGGUCUUUGUGGAACAGUUGGCCAUCAUGAUAUGGGUAAGCAAAUUCACGGUCAUGUUGUUAAAUGUGGUUUGGGAUCUAAUUUGGAAGUGGGAAAUGCACUUCUUAGCAUGUAUUUUAAGUGUGGGGACAUGGACGAUGCGAUGAAGGUGUUUCGUGAUAUGGCUUGUACAGAUGUAGUUACAUGGAACACUUUGAUCUCGGGAAAUCUUAUACACAGACAGGGGGGCAGAGCAUUGGAAGUAUGGGUGGAAAUGCAGGAGAAGAACAUAAAGCCUGACCAAGUUACAUUUGUAUUGAUAAUUUCAGCUUACAGGCAAACAAACUCAAAUUUCGUUGAUGAUUGUCGUAGUUUGUUUAACUCUAUGCGAACUGUUUAUCAAAUUGAGCCCACAUCCAUGCAUUAUGCUUCCUUCAUCAGUGUCUUGGGUCACUGGGGUUUUCUGCAAGAAGCACUAGAAACUAUCAAUAAAAUGCCUUUCCAGCCUUCAGCUCUUGUUUGGCGCGCAUUGCUUGAUGCUUCCAAACAGCAUCAGAAUGAUAUGAUUGGAAAAUGGGCUGCUCAGAAUAUUCUUUCCUUCAAACCUAAAGAUCCUUCAACGUUUAUACUUGUUUCAAAUCUGUAUUCUGCAUCUGGGAGAUGGGAUCGCUCUGACAUGGUCAGAGACGAGAUGAGGCAAAAAGGGAUUCGCAAACACCCAGCUCAAAGUUGGAUCAUUUCUGAGAAGAAAAUACAUACAUUUUAUCCGAGAGAUAGAUCACAUCCUCAGGAGAAAGACAUAUACAGUGGUUUGGAUAUUUUGAUCUUGGAGUGCCUAAAAGUUGGAUAUGAACCUGACACGAGCUUUGUUCUCCAUGAAGUAGAGGAGCAUCACAAGAAAUUCUUUCUAUUCCAUCACAGUGCUAAACUGGCAGCAACUUAUGGGAUACUGAUGAGCAAGCCUGGAAUGCCCGUUCGGAUUGUAAAGAACAUCCUUCUUUGUGGGGACUGCCAUACAUUCUUAAAAUAUGCAUCAAUUGUCACGAAAAGAGAUAUAUUUCUGAGAGAUUCUUCUGGAUUUCAUUGUUUCUCCGGUGGCCAGUGCUCGUGUAAAGACUGCUGGUGAAAGCUGGCUCUUGUCGCCGGUUAUCGUGAUUUAUAUCAGUGGUCUUUGCUGAAUAAUUUUGGUAGUUAUAGGAUAGCAAUGAUAGAUAAGAUUUGUAUGAGAAAUUUUUCUAUAGAUGUUACCAUGAAUUUGGUGGAACCAAUCAUCUAAGGAGAAAAGGGGUAAAACAGCAAGAGGAGGCGGAAGAAAGAUUCUUCUUUACAAAUGUUUCUGUAAAAAAAUUAGGGGUUAGAGCUCCACGGUCUCAUCUGAACAAAGAUGUAUUUUGUCAGUUUGUUGAUAACCUUUGAUGUCUAUGAUCUAACACAGUUAGGUAUUUACCAACACAGCUUGGUAUUUUGUCGGAGUUUGGAGUAUUGAAAUAUUUACUCCAACUACAUUAGUUUUUCUUGUUCGGAUGGACUUUUUAAUUCGUGUAUGAAAUAGCCUACCUUUUUUUCCUUCAAAGUUACACUAGACGCCAUGUAAUAGUUGAUUUGUAAUUAUUUUAAAUGUUUUGUGAGAUAAAUAUCUUUCAUUUCAACCAUCAACCUUUUCAUUCACCACCUUUCUUCUGUCCAAUUUAAUAGAUAAAAGCAAUUUUUAUAUAACUUGAAAUAAUAAUUUCACUAUCUCUAAAUAUAUGUUAAUUUUUUUACUUGAGCAUCGAAGAACCAAUCAAACUUAUUUCAACAAAAUUAGUUAUGUUAUAUUUAUUUUCAUCAUUAAUCCCAACAAAUAUCAAUGUUAGAUGGCCGCCCAGUUCUUUUCCUGUGUUGAGUUCACCAAGGUGGUUAUAUAAAAAGGGCAAAAGGGCUACUAGGGCAGAUUCUUCCUGCACCUCUAUAUUUUCUUUCCUCUAUUUCCAUAAUUAUUUUUUCAUUUUACUUUUUCUGGACUGUACAUUUUUUAACUUUUGGAUUAUUUAAUCCAAAAGAAAAAAUAACUAAUCUGAAAACCCGUUUUUUCUCUUAAAAAACCUUCCGGAUUAAACCAUAUAGAAGCAUCCGGAAGCCAAAUAACUUUCAGAAAUCUAGAAUCCAUUUUCUUAAAAAAGAAUAAUUUCGUAGUCUGAAAAAUCAUUUUUGGCUUUUGGAUAGUAUAAUUCAGAAGUCGUUUUUUAUUUUUUAAAAAACAAAAAUACUUUCGAUAUGUACAAAUGUAAAAAAAAAAAAUUAUAAUGAUAUUUAGACAACAUUUUUUUGACAACAUUUAAACAUUGAUUACGUGUCAAUCUGUGAUUGGUCAAAAAUUACUUCACAAUCAACAAUAAUAAUCAUAAACAUUAUUGUGGUGUAAUUUUUAACCAAUCACAUAUUGACACGUAAUCAAUGUUUAAAUGUUGUAAAAAAAAUGUUAUCUAAAUAUCAUUAUCCAAAAAAAAUAUGGAGAUAUAUAAAGAAAGUUACAAAGGUAGGGGAAGAAAGUGCCAUAAAAAGGAAGUUAAUGAGGAUGCUAAUCGAGCCGAUACUGAUGCAUAAGGUGAGAAAAAUCAUCCUGAUUUGGUUUUGGGUUUGAUGUAAGUGAAAGAGAGUUGGGCUAAUCUUUCUUGUACCUCCAUUUUUUCUUAUUGCACCGCAUAGGUGUGAUGGAAUCACCUUUUUAUCCCAUUUCUUUCUCUCACUUCCUUUUCCUUCUUUCAUGUACCCAGCUACACACCUUCCUUCUCUUUCUUCCCACUGAUGGCGCAACCCCCUUUCACCUCCAACACCUAUUUAGAGAUUAAUGCAAAAGUCAAUAAAAAGCUCAAAGAAAUGGAUUUAAGAAUAACUUAGAAGAGUCAGCAAACUACUUUUAUAUUUAACUAAUUUUAACAAAUCAAGUGACAUGUCCUAUUAGAAAGUUAUCACAUUUUGUUAUGCAGUAUGGUAGAAGUCUCUUCUAGUAAGAACAGAAUAAUAAUAUGAAUUGUAAUUUUGUUAUAUAUUCCUUUGAGUUGAGAGUGAAUGGGAAGGAGGAAAUUAGUCUUUCUUUUUGUCCCUUUCUUUUAAAGAGAACCAUUGACCUUAGAUCAAGGAAAUUUUUGUCUAUCAUUUGAUGUUUUCAUUGAGAAAUUUUUCACGCCAUAACAAAGCAUAAUACACGAUUCAAGACUACAUCAGACCGAAUAGAAGAGUCUAUCCAACAUUUAACACAUUAGCAAAUGGUGUUAAGUGUUAAUCAUGAGAGUCUCAAUAUAAAGGUGGAUACAAUAUUGCAACAACUUGCUAUGCUAUGGGCCAAAUCAGAAUUGUCAUCAAAAGCAAAGGACAUAGUGUUUUUUAAAACCCAUGUAAAGUUAGAAAUUCCUUACUUUAAUGUGGAAGAUGCCAUGGGGGUGGAUAUUCAAGAUUUCUUAGUUUUUUAAUUACCAUGUUACUUCUGAGGCUCAUCAUAUCAAGGUAGCAUCACUCUACAUGGAGAACAUGCUCUCAACUCACAUCAAUGGAUGCAUUGUUCGUAAUGGUAUGGUCUGGUCUGGUGUAACUUUUGGAAAUUCGAUUUUCUCCAUCAUACUAUGAUGAUCCCCAGAGUGUCCUCUUUAAGUUGACUCAGAAGCAUACCAUUUCAUAAUAUCUUAAUGAAUUGAAAGAUUAGGAAAUAGAAUCGUCGGUCUUCCUACAACCUUUUUAUUGAGUUUUUUUUUUUUAGAUUGAGUCUAGAAAUCUGACAUUAGAUGCAAACGUUGCAACCUCAUUCAAUGAUACAAGCAACAACCCUAGUCAGAUUAUAGAAAGACAAUAACGUCAAUUUGAGAACAAAUUAUGAUAAGCUCACUUAAAAAGAUAUGGUAGUUCAUUGAGAAAAAGGUCUCAACUAUAAUUGCAAUGAAAAAUUUAGUCUAAGCAACAAGUGUAAAGGAAGCUUAUUUCUAUUAGUAGUUGAGACAGGGGAUGACGUGAGCAGAGUAAUUAUUGAUCAAUCAUGUUUGAUUCAAAAAUAAUUAAAUGAUAAUUCUUCAAAGGCCCAUGUCAGUUUUAAUGCCCUUGUUGGACUGUUAACUCCCAAAGAUUUAUGUUUAAUGUGUCAUAUAUCUAAAAGUUAUGACUGUUUUGGUGUAUGGUGAUAGUACACACAAUUUUAUUUAGCACCGUGUAGUUAAGCAUAUUCAAUUGUCUAUCUAACCCACAAAAACCGUGAGGGUGAAGGUAAGAGAUGAAAUGGAAAUUGAUUGUCGUUAGGUUUGUCAAAGCGUGAAAGUGGGUAUUCAAAAUCACGAGUUUGAAGUGGAUCUUCAUGUCUUACUUAUUAGUGAGACUCAUAUUAUUUUGGGUAUCUAUUGGUUGAAAGAAUUGGACCCAAUAAUCAAAUUAUGCUAAAUUGACCUUGAAGUUUAUACAGAAUGAAAAUAUGGUUGAAUUUAAGACCAACGCACCGAUCAGGCCACAAGAUAUUUUAUCACACCAACUAAAUAUACUUAUGCAUACCAAGAAACAUAUUUUCCAAGUAAUGUAUUUCCCAAAAGAUACAACGUGGAAGAAGUGGAAAGAUUUAUGCCAAGAUUAUCAUCUUAAGGACAAGGUGAAUUUUCCAUAGGUGGAUAUUGAUGAAAAGAUAGAGUCCAUUAAUAUGCAAUCUAGCACAUAUAUUCAUAGGCUCAAGCAUAAGUCAACAAGAGCCUAAAGAAAGGGAUUUAAAGGCCUAGAAUAGUCAACAAACUACCUUUAUAUUUAGUUUAUUUUACCAUUUAAAUAAAUCAAGUGACAUGUCCCAGUCUUAGAGAGUUAUCAAAGUUUGAUAUGCAUUAUGCUAUAAGUAUGUUUGAGUAAGAACAUCUUGAUGCAUGGAGUGGAUAUUCAAGAUUUUAUAGUUUUUCAAUUCAUAUUACUUUGAGGCUGAUCGUAUCAAGGUAACAUCAUUCUACAUGGAGGGACUUGCUCUUAGUUGACAUCAAUGGAUGCAUUGCAAUGGCAUGAUUAUUACAUGGCAUGGUCUGCUGCAAGCAUUGGAAACUCAUUUUUCUCCAUCAUACUAUGAUGAUUCCCAAGGUGUCCUCUUUAAAUUGACUCAAAAAGGUACUAUUUCAAAAUAUCUUAAUGAGUUUGAAAAAUUAACAAAUGAGUCUUCCUACAACUUUCUUGUUGAGUUGUUUUAUUUUUGUAUUGAGUCCGAAAAUUCAAUGUGAGGUGCAGACAUUGCAACCUCAUUCACUGAUAUAAGCAACAACCCUAUCCAGUUUAUAGGAAGACAAGUUGAUAGGACAAAAAUGUCAAUCUAAAAACAAAUUGCAAUAAGCUCACUCAAAAAUAGAUGCUAAGUCGUCAAGAAAAAAGUCAAUGCACCAACCAUUCUACAAGAUGUUUCAGCACACCAACUAAAUAUACUUAUGCAUACCAAGACAACUGCACCUUUCCAAGUAAUUUAUUUUCCAAAAAAUACAACUUGAGAGAAGUGGAUCGAUUGAGAUUUAUGCCAACAUUAUCACCUUGAGGACAAGGUGAAUUUUCCACAAGUAAGUAUUGAUAGAAAGGUAAAAUCCAUUACUCUUUAGUCCAAGACAUAUAUUUAUAGGCUCACAUAGAAGUCAACAAGAGUUCAAAGAAAAAGAUUGAAAGACUUAGAAGAAUCAAAAAAUUACCUUUAUAUUUAGUUUAUUUUACCAUUUAGAUAAAUCAAGUGAUCUCUCAAUCUUAAAGAGUUGUCAAAAAUUGUUAUGCAUUAUGUAAGUACUUUGAGUAAGAAUAGAAUAAUAAUUAUGAAUUGUAAUUUUUUUAUAUAUAUUUUUUUGGAUUGAAAGUGAAUGGAAAGGAAUAAAUUAGUUUCUUUCUUUGUCUCUUUUUUUCUAACGAAGAUCUUUGAUUUCUAAGAAAACUUUUAUGUAUCGAUUUUUCAAGUGUUUUUACUUUUGCAUGUAUGAUCUCUGCAUAAUAUCAUUAUAUGUUAAGACAUGUCGUUUGCUACGUCAACAAAUUUUUAUGGUUGAUUAUUGUUGUUUGAUUCACAGUAACUAUCUCUAUUCAUUAAUAAAUUUUGAAGAUAAAAUUUAAAAUUUGAAACAAUGAGAAAAUCUAAUUUCAUAAAAAUCAAAAAACUAAAAAACAUAUUUAAUAUAAUUUAAAAUCUUAUUUAAUUUAAUAAAAAUUGAGAAACUAAAAAUAUAUUUAAUUUUAAAACUUAAACGAAAUAUAUGUUUUCUAAACUAUCGAUUACAAACUAAUAAUGAACAUGAUAAAAUCAUUACAAAAUUUAAAUUCUAAUUUAAUAAAAUAAAAGAGAAUUGAUAUAUAUAUAUAUAUAUAUAUAUAUAUAUAUAUAUAUAUAUAUAUAUAUAUAUAUAUAUAUUAAUGAAUAUGUUUCUACCCGUUAAUCUUAUAGUAUUAGUUAUAUUAAUUUAAGUUCAUAAAUAUUUAAAUGUAUUCAAAACAUAUUAAUUGUAUUUAUAUUUAUAUAUAAACGACAUUUUUCUUUUUUUUUAUAUUCACAUUUAUAUUUUAAUUUUAUCCUUCAAAUAAUUUCUUUUAACUAAAAUAAUUAUUUUAUCAAUAUUAUUUUUUAUUUGUAAAUUUUUUUUUUCAAUUUAUAUUUUUAUAUUCCACGUGUAAGAAUAUAUAUAGAAUACUGUCAAAAUUACUUAAUAUUAAUUAGAAAAUAUAUAUUUUUUAUUUUAUUUUUAAAGAAUUAAAUAUAUUUUUAACCUUUUAAUUUUUUCGAAAUUUGAUUUAUCUCAAACUUUAAAUUAUUUUUAUCUAAAACUUUAUUAAUAAAGGGACAUAAUUCUUGUAAUCAAAUCAUAUUAAAAAUUUGUUGAUGUAAUAAAUAGUAUUAUUGCGUGUAAUCAUGUAUUGAUAUAUAAAUAUAUACACGGUUUGGUAUAUUAACAAAAAUUUUAACACUGUUUGAUCAAAGAUUAAAUGUAUACAUUAAAAAAGCUUGAGGAGAAUGAAGAAAAUGAUUGAAAGUUUAACAGAAAUCCUAUUUUCCAUAAAAGUUAAACAACAAUUGAACAUCAUCACUUCGUUAAAAAGCAUCCUGCAAUCAACUAUAAUGAUUUUUUCAAAAGUAAAUACAAAUUUUAUCAUGCAACUAAAUCGAGUUUAUUAAUUAAAUCUGAAACUCACGACCCUGUUAUAUAACUCAGUAAGAGAAACAACUAACAAAACCUAUUUCUCAGUAAAAAAAAUAAUGAUAUUUUGACAACAUUUUUUGAUAAUUUUUUUAACAAUAAAAUAUGUGUUAUCAUUUUAUUAAUUAAUUUAAAUUUAUAUUUAAAAGAAUAUUUAAAACAGAUCAAUCACAAUCUAUUACGUUUAUAAAAAAAAAUUGUUAAAAAAAGUAUCGUUAAAAUUAGAUUGGAUUUCCAAACCAUAACGUACUAAAUUAAAAGUUGUCACGAAUGGUUACGUUUAACCUGUGAAUUCAACACGAGAAAUGGGCCUACUUAUUUCCAUGUUUCACCCUCUCCCACCUCUCCUUAUCCUCUUCACAAUAAACACUGUCGCAUGUUCAGUGUUCACCGUAUCACACCCAUUAAACAACAAUCUUAGCCAAACAAUGUUCCUUAACAUUAACAAUAACUAUGUCACAAAUAUUAGCUUAUCUGCUUCUUGUUUCCUGUUGCUGUUCGAUUUCGGGAACAAAAAAAAAAUUGUUGGUUUCAGAUCUACUUCUAUUUUGUAUAUUUUAUAAUAUAAUACAAGGGUAAACUUUUUGUUGUUUCAAGAGAUUUCGGUGCCGUUGCGUCAAGCAGUUUAAUAUAAAUUAACGGAGUGAAUAACACGCUGCUUUAGGCCUUUAUCGAGGCUUCAUUCGCCGUCACUCUCCCAAUUUCGUUUUAAAUACAAAAAAUGCAAAAUAUAGAAAAAUAAAUAACAAUUUAGCUCAAAUAUAUUUUUAUCUUAAAAAAAUAAAUUAUGCCUUUUUUCAGAAAGCUUGUGGUGCUUUUUGGUUUCUAGAAAGUUAUAGGCUACAUUUCUUUAUGUAGAUUGUUAUAAUUGGACACAUUUUACCACCUAUAAAAAAAAUCACAUCUCAAAAGGGAAACUUGAAAUCAUAUUUAAAAUAAUUUCAAAAAAAUCAACAGUCUAACGAGUACAACAAAAAAUCUUCCCCGUGUUAUAUAUUUGAACGAAAGCAUACAAAAAUAACGAGAAAUUAUAAAUUAAAAAACUCGAACGAUUACAAUGAUUUAGUUUAGUUGUAUAAUAAAUAUAGAGUAUUAUCUAUUAAAAUAAAUUCAAGGAAGUGUAUAAAAAGAACUAUAUAUGUAGAAAAUUUAUUAAAAGGUUUGGGUUGGGAUUGGUACUUUUAGUAGAAGUUCUUUAUCAGCACUCAAAUUACAUGAUUUGGAAAACGACGUCGCCUCAGUGCGGUCAAUUAGAAUAGUGUUUGUGAAUUAAUGUUUUAUUAUGGUAUGAUGUAAAAAAUAAACGUAUGUUUACAUUUAGCAAUGUAUUAAAAACUUUUUCUUAAAAGGUGAUUACUUCAUGUUUGUGUUAUCUUUUGAACUUUUAAGAGAGACUGUAAUUUGCACAAUACCAAAUUAAGAAAAAUUCCAAACCAUAUUUAUCCAUAAGCUACUGUGUGUGAUUGUGCUUCGGUUGGACUGUUUAGAAAAAAAAAAAAACAUUACUUUUUUGGGACAUUAUUUUUCCCUUUUUAUCACAAGAUCAGCUUUAUGAUGAAUAUUUCAACCAUGGAUUAAUCUGCUUAAAAAGCAGAAUGUUGCGUAAAACUGUGAAAUUAUGGAAAAACUGUAAACAUUAAAAUUAUAAAAAAAAAUGGAAAAUUAGAAAAUUGGAAAAAGUGUGUCAUCAUGGCUUGACCUCUAAUUCCCGUCGAUGAAAUAAAUGGGAGGUGGCAUGCAUAAGAAUUAUGACUUACGAACUUCUACUAAAUUACCGUUUUGCACCUAUUCAAUUUGUUUUUAUUUUUUAGCCAAUGCUUUUCUACUCUCAGUUAUUACUAUCAUAUUUGACUUUUAUUCUUGCCAUUAAUAAAAGUAAUAUAAUUUAAAUGCGAAAUUUUUUUCAAUAGAAACAAAUCCUCGAUUUUCCUAAAGAUAUGACAUAUUUUUAACAAGCCAACACGUGCAUGAGUCGUGAAAUUCAAAUUAAAUUAUUAAUAAACUAACAAGAAUAGUCUUAAUAAAUGUGUAAAAGCGUGAUCACUAUGGUUGAUAUAAUUAAACUAAAGAAGGUUGUUUUUAUGGAGUUUAUUAAACUAAAAACAACGUGUUAAUACUUUAUUUUUUUCCAUUGGCAUAUUAUUUUUGACAUAUAUUGAUUAAUUAUAAACAACUUUUAUAACUAGUCAAAUAUACUUUAAACACGCCAGUAUUACUUGUUUUUUUAGUGUGCUACAUUGUUUACUAAUCAUAGAUUAUGUGUUGUAUAAUAUUUGAUUAAAUUAUAAUUUUGAUAUUGUCACUUUUAUACAUAAUUUUAGCUUGUGUUUUUUUUUUUUUUUUAGAUUCUUUAAGUAAAGCGAGUUUACACUUUAAUUUUUAAUAUUUUUAUUAAGAUAUAAAACUUAAAAUGAGGAAAAAAAAGAUUAAAUAAUAAUAUAUUGUAUAUAUGAGGUCCGUAGGUUAUAGUUUAUUCUCAUGUAUUUCUGAUCCAAAACGACACGUUUGAAGCGAAUCGAAGUAACAGAAGGACACGUGUCUGGGUUGGGAGAAAGGGAAGAAAAUAAAGAGAUUAUUAAUAAGUGGGUCGGUGAGUUGUUGGUAAGAAGCAUAAGAGAGGGGUAAAAGAGGAAAUGCAAAAAGUUGCAUGCAAAAACUCAGAUUUUGAGGACAAAGUGUGAGGACGCUUGGCCUGAUAUCGCACCCAUUUAUUACCAACACUUCAACGUCAGAUUCCUCACCCUCUGCCACCAAAACCAAAACUCUCUUCUAUUCUCUCAUCUUUCUCUUUCUUUCUCUCUUUCUUUCUCUCUUCACAAACAAAACACAACUAUGUCUUCUGCAUAGACAACAGAAACCACCUGCUUUCUAAAUUCUGUAGCAAAAGGUUAAGAAACAGCUUCAAUGGGUACUUCUGUUACAUGGGGCUCAGGGCCAUCUUCAUCCACCAAGCUCUUUCUGUUCAUGCUUCCUCUCGUGCUUGUUGCAGGGCUGGUUUCUGUUUUGGGUCCUAGCCCCUCUAGUUGGUUUUCCACUGCCAAGCCACCGCUGUUAUUAUUCAGCUCUGUUACUUCCUCAGCUGCUAGUAGUGGUGCUGUCACCACCCCUUCUGAGGUGAAGCAGAGAGAAGAGUUGCUGGUGGUGGCCGUGGAUAAUCGUGCUGGAGAGAAUCUUAUCUCCGAUGACACUCACUUCAAUCUCUCCUCUACUCCUCCAUUUUCUGUUCAGGCCAUACAACAACAUGUGAGACCUUUUUCUUCUUUUCUUAUCAUAAUUCCACCCUUAAGUUUGCCAUUUUUCUUUAUUUAUAUGAAUCACAUUACAACAGGGGUAGGAUGGGACAUAAUUUCGAUACGACUCUACUUUAUUCCUACAGAAUUUCACUGUGAUAAUCCAAAUAAUAAGGGCAGCCACCCUGCUACGAGAAUCAGACCAACAAUACCUAUUUUUAAGAAUAAAACUAUGCAAUAAAUGUUUGAAUAAAAAGAUUAUACCAAUUUAUUACUGUAAAAAGAUUAUACCAAUUUCUACCUCAAGUAAUUAGUAAUUUAUCUGAGUAUUUAAGUUUUCUUUCCCGAUUUUGUUUGGUAGAAAAAUAGGUAGCAGUGUGGGUUAUGGAAGCUAUUCUAAGAUGAAAAUUUCGUUAAAAAUGUCAGAUGAUUGUUAUAUUUAAGAAGGAAAGAAUGUACAGACAGAAAGAAAAGAAUGCAACUAAAGCCAUUGAGAAUGUUACAGACCAGAUACCUUAACUUUUUCUUUAAUUUUGCAGAAAAGAUAUAGGAGUUUGAAUAAAUCUGUGGUGGGAUAAUACCCAAACGAAGGGAGAGAGAUUUUAUCUUAUUAUUAUUCAAUUUAUUCUUUUUAAAGUAAAGUUUACAGAAUAAGGAGAUGCACUACCUCAGUCUAAGUUAUAGCAGAGGAAAGGAAAACAUCGAUCUCACAUAGCACUUGGUCGAUGUUUAAAAUUUUCCAGAUUGAAUUAGUAGAAUGAAGAUAAAUUUGGAACAUGAGGAAUUAAAAAUUGAUAUUUAACUGAACCUUACUCUUUCGUCUACGCACUGCUACUAUAUUAUAAUAAUAUAUUUGCUUUAUUUUCAUCUUUUCGAGACAACUUCUCUCUGUGAAAUGAAGGAAUUGAAAUAAUGCAAAUUGAUAUAUCAACUUGGAUGUUACUCUGUACUUGUUGCCUUAGUGUUGCGAUCAAGGGAGUUAUUUUGCGUAUUUGAGGAUUUUAAGACCUAUAAUAUAUGAAUAUCAUGUCCCCUUGUUGAAUAUUGUAACUUCGUAAAUACGCAAAGAAAUGCGAAUCCCCAUCCCUUGGGUUUUCACUUUUCAGAUACUUUAGUUGGUUUUCAGUGUGCAAUUUGUUUCUACAAGUUACCAAAAUAAAUUGGAGUGACAAAUAUUUGGCUGCGUUUAUCUUCUAAAUUAUUUUUUGGAUAAUUUCCAUUUUAGAUGGGAAUUAGUUCAAUUUCGUAUACAUGGAUUCAUCUCCUACACUGCACAUGUAGCAAUGAUUUCGAAAAGGUUUGAAUUUAAGAAACUAGUUGUCAAGUUCCGUUUUAAGACAGGAAAUAGACAAAGCGACUUGUUAGGCAGAGCAUUGUAGCAUGGUUGAAAUUAAAAGGCUAUCCAUUUAUGAGUUUUAAAUAAAGGUGACGACGACCCAUCAUUUUAUUUACCAGAGCAGGGAUGAACAAAACGUUCCCCAAAAUUUGGGUAACGUGAGUUCGGUGAACGAGUCUUAUGUUCCAGCAGAAAGGCCAAAACUGCAAAGAAAAUUCAGCAUCUUAGACAGAAAUGAAGCAGGUCUAAUAAAAGCUCGAGCCGCAAUUAGAGAAGCAAGAAACGGAAAUCAAACGCAAGAUACAGACUACGUUCCUAUUGGACCAAUGUACAUGAAUGCCAAUGCAUUUCACAGGUAAAAGAAGCAAAUAACAUUAGACUUUGUUGGCUUAACAGAAGUAAGUAAGUAAUUCGAUUUGUGCAUGUUACAGGAGUUACUUGGAAAUGGAGAAACAGCUGAAAGUGUAUGUGUACGAAGAAGGGGAGGCUCCAGUUUUUCAUAACGGACCUUGCAAGAGCAUAUACUCGAUGGAGGGGAAUUUCAUCCAUGCUAUUGAGAUGAACGAGAAAUUCCGAACAAGAGAUCCUGAGAAAGCACAUGUUUUUUUCUUACCUUUUAGUGUAGCAAUGUUGGUCCAAUUCGUGUAUGUACGAGACUCUCAUGACUUUGGCCCCAUAAAAAAAACUGUCACGGAUUACAUCGACGUCAUCGCAGGAAGAUACCCCUAUUGGAACAGAAGCCUUGGAGCUGAUCAUUUCUAUCUUGCUUGCCACGAUUGGGUAAUUAAACCAUCACUGCAUUGUGCUUUUUUUUUUUUUAUAUAUAUAUAUAUAUUUUAAUGAUUAUCAGAAAAUAAUCUUGAUUGUUGUAAAUUGUUUUUCAGGGGCCAGAGACUUCGCGCUCGGUUCCUAAUUUGAAAGAUAAUUCGAUACGCGUGUUGUGCAAUGCUAACACUUCCGAGGGAUUCAAGCCUUCGAAGGAUGUCUCUUUGCCGGAAAUUAACCUCCAAAGUGGUUCCAUAAACGGUUUGAUCGGUGGGCCGUCUGCUUCGAAGCGUCCACUCUUGGCCUUCUUUGCCGGUGGACUUCACGGCCCAAUUAGGCCGGUUCUUCUUGAACAGUGGGAAAACAAGGACGAGGACAUAAAGGUUCAGAAGUACCUUCCGAAGGGUGUGUCGUACUAUGAGAUGCUGAGGAAGAGCAGGUUCUGUCUUUGUCCCAGUGGGUACGAGGUGGCGAGUCCGAGAGUGGUGGAGGCAAUCUACACAGGGUGUGUCCCAGUUCUGAUUUCGGAUCACUAUGUCCCUCCGUUCAGUGAUGUUUUGAAUUGGAAGUCGUUUUCCGUUGAAGUUACGGUUGAGGAGAUUCCGAAAUUGAAGGAAAUUUUGUUGAGUAUUUCUCCAAGACAGUAUAUAAGAAUGCAGAGGAGAGUGGUACAAGUUAGGAGGCAUUUUGAGGUGCACUCUCCUCCCAAGAGAUUCGAUGUCUUUCACAUGAUUCUUCAUUCUGUAUGGCUUAGAAGAUUGAACUUCAGAGUCCACGAUCAUCAAUCACAACUGUCUUAGUUUCCCAUUGUUAUCCCAUGUAAUAAGCUGUCAUUUUUUUCCAUUAUCAGAAGCAAAAAUAAUAUUUCAUUUUUCCCAUAUUCCAUGUAAAAAAAAACAGUUUUCAGAGUAAGAAAAUAUGUGAACAGAGUCAACAUCUGUUGUUUAAGAGACUAGAUACUUUUAUCCAUCUUACCCCAUUAGCCCUUAUUCUGGAGUCAAGGAUAUCGAUUUAUGAUAUAUCUGUACAUGGUUCGAGUGCAAUUCGGUAUGUGAAACAGAGAAAUUUUGGGUCAGACCAAUGAUUGGAAUGCACGAUCUGAAAUCUGGAAAUGAAAAUCAACAAACUCAACGACGAAGGAAACGAUGGGCAACGACACAGAAAGGAAGAAAAUAAUAUGGAACAACACACAAAUUACGCUUUCAAGUUAAAACAUUUUUUUUUUAACAAUUUCAAUCAUAAAAAAGCCAUAGAAUCUAAGUAUGAAUUUUAUUAUUCAUCUUUAUAAGAAUUUUUUUAUUAUUAAUGAAAGUUUAUUGAUAGAAAUAAAUUUGUUGGUAACGUAAAAUUUGAAUAAAUGAUGAAAACAUGUAUCAAUAAAUUCCGUAUGUAAGAUAGAAAAGACGAAAACUAAAAAAUUAAUAAUACAUACAAAUACAUAUAACUAAAACUUAAAAUUAAUUUUUAUUCGAAAAUAUUUGAAUCAUUAAAAUUUGAUUUCGUUAAAUAUUAAUUUAUACAAUAACAUAGUUAUAACUGUUUGCACACAUUAUAGUUUAAAUUAUAUUAUUUAUUAAGAUAUUAAAAUUAAAUAAGAAUUAUUUAAAUAUAUUUAAAAUAAUAAUUAUGAUUUUAAGAUCUUAUAUAAGUUUUCUAUAAUAUAAAAGAUAGUAAUGUAAAUAAAAUAAAAAUUUGUAUAAUUUAUUUAAAUAACAUUCAAUAAUAAUAUAACAAACUGUUAUUUAAAUAAUGUCAUAUUUUAUUACUAUUUAGUUUGUUAUUGUAUUACAUCCAAUAUAAGAUCGGAUAAACAACUUAAGUCUAUAUAAAGUUUAGCAUAACUAAAUUACAGUAUUUAAUGAAACCUGCUUAUGUGGCUUGAGGUGUUCUACUAUAACCGCUCAAUAAUAAUAAAUAAGUUGUGAAAUAUAAUCCAUCUAAAUUCCUCAACUUUGAGAUUUAACUUUACAAAAGAUGGUGGAGAAAAAUUUCAGGAAUGUCAGCAAAUUAGAAGAAUUAGUUUAAAAGAAUAAAUAUUCAACCAGGACAAAAAUUCCUAAAAUGAAACAUCAUUGUAACUGUUAAUUUAUACAUUUAAUGUUACACUUCACCUUAACAAGCUUAGUUAAUUAUUAUUGUUAAAAUUUAACAUAAUCAUUUAUUUUAUAAGUAAAUUUUAUUAUACAAAAAAUAAUUAAUUAAAAGCAAAUAGGCACAAAGAGUGGGAAAUGGCGUGGUCUCGAGAGAGUCCUACAUGAGUCAAAGAAGACUAGCUCAGCGGACGCCACGUUGCUGAACACGUGUCAAUCUUUGAUAGAUAUGAAGGUAGGAGAUGGUUCGAAAGAUAUAUAUACAUGUCAUUAGCGAGUAGCAUCAUAGGCUACGUGUCACACUUCCAUGUCUCCUUUCUCUCCACGCGUCGCUCUCCUCCUCAACGUUUUGCUCUUCGAAACCUUAUAUAUAUCUUCAAGCAUGCUUGUUCAUUCAUCAACCUUCAAGUUCAUUCAAAAACAACUCACAACCAGCUCUAACACUCGAGACAACAUCGUACAAUCAACCCAUAAGAUCGAUGGCGUCGGGACAGCAAUUCAAGGGAGACAGAGCGGAGGCAGCGGCCAAACUUGCAGCCAAAGACAUCGGCGAUAUCAACAGAGCGAACGAGCGCAACGACAACUACGACCUUCAUUCCGAGGCCAACUUUAAGCAAGCACGAGCAGAAGCAGCUGCGAAGCUCGCCGCAAAGGAUCUGGAGGAUGUUAACAGAAUGAGGGACAACAAUGCCACCACAUUCAAAGAGCAGCAGCACUACGGCGAGAACAGACCCGGUGUGAUAGGGUCCAUGUUCAGAGCCGCUAAGGAAGCGGUGGUUGGGAAGCCUCGAGAUGCGGUUGAGACCUCGCCAGGGGUUUAUGAUUCCAACAGAGAGAGGAUAACGAAGGAGCAAGGUGGGUCGAAGAUGGGGGAAUAUGCAGAUUAUGCGACCCAGAAGGCGAAGGAAACGAAGGAUGCAACGGUGCAGAAGGCUGGGGAGUACACGGACUUUGCGACUCAGAAAGCAAAAGAAAGCAAGGACUAUGCGGUGGAUAAGGCAAAGGAAGCUAAAGAUGCUACGGUGCAGAAAGCUUCAGAGUACAAGGAUUAUA